UAACGGUGUAGAAAUAUUUAAAUCAGAUGAAAUUUUGAUUACAAAUUCUUUAUACUAUCUGCAACAGAAUCAAUAUUUAAUAAACGAAAUUUUAUAGUACUAUAUCACCACUUUUUAUAGAAUUUUUAUUUUCAGUCGUUAAAAAUUAUUUGAUUUGAUCCUUUCGAUUGCUGGUAAAUGAUACUGAAAAAUCGCAAAAAUUAUUUUCUUAGAAACGUUAAAUACGCUAGAUCAAGUCUAGCGGAGACGAUCGUCGAUUCGAAGCUCCAUCAUCGAAACAGCUCAGGAGCACGGAGGCCUCGUGCUCUUGAGAGCACAACAGUCCUGCUCUCUCUCUCUCUCUCUAUAUAUAUAUAUAGAGUUGAGCUAGAAUACUCUCAGAAGCACAGGAGGUGGUGCUUUGAGUUUUUAACCAUUGGAUGGAGAUUUGUAGGGUUGAGAUGAUGGGCGGUGGUGGUGGUAGGUGAAAUAGUAUUUGAACCAAGGGUGGGGUAUUAGUAAUUAAGGAGUAGAUUCAAGUCUAAAAACUUAGAAGCACCAAGGAUUGGUGCUUCUAAAGUAUUCUACGUCAAUUUUAUAUAUAUAGAAUUGAGCUGAAAUAUGAUCUAUACACUUGAAGUUUAGAAAUCAAUUUCAUAUAUUUUCGAUAUUAUUCUCUAUCCAUCGAAUGGACACAAAAAUGAAUAGCUGAAAAUGAAUAUUCUUUAAAAAUUGAUGAUAGGAGUCUUGUAGUCAAGAUCAAGAGUAUAGAUCUUGUUUUAAAUAGUUUAAAAAAUUUUCUAAUAAAAAUUCAAUUGAUUUGGAUAUCUUUCACCGUUAAACGAGAAAACGCUCAUAUCGACCAUUAAAAUUACAAAAUUUGAAACCUUUGAUCAUAAGGCAAAUGAUGUCGAAAAGAUUUGAAAUUUGAUUCCUAGUAUUUCAAAUGGUAUAGAUCAUGUUCAACGGUGCCGAUGUCAAUUUGAAGCUCAUCAUCGAACAAAUGGAUAUAUAUAUUAUAUAUAUAUAUAUAUAUAUAUUAUAUAAUAUAUAUGCUGAUACUAUCAGUAAAUUGGAGGCCUCCGUGUUACCAAGUUGGUUUUAAUAAUGCGCUUCUAAACCGACGAUCGGCUCCGUUAGAUUUGAUCUACACUAUUGAAAGUAUUUGGAAACUAAAUGUCAUAAUUUUCGGUAUAAUUGAAACAAAUUUGAUAGCACAGAGCCGUCCGUGCUACCGAUAGUAUACCAGUCUAGCUGUAUUAUAUUCUAUCGAUAGCAUGAACGCUUGUUGUUGUCGAGUUUUCCGCCGUUAGAUUUAACCCUUUGGCUAUUUUCACACGUUAGGUUAUAGUAUUCAACCAUUAACUCACUUAACCCUAGAGAUCCAUAUCAUCCUAACAUACAUUUUAUAUCUAAGGGCCAAACCUAAUGGCACAAAUACCUUGGUGUUAUUGAUAAUACUCCAACCUAGUUAUAUAUAUUAUAUAUAAUAUAUAUAUAUAUAUAUAUUAUAUAAUAUAUAUAUAUAUAUAUAUAUAUAUAGUUAGGCUGCUCUAUCUAUCGGUAGCACGGGACUCCGUGCUACUAAGUUGUUUUGAUGAUACGCUUCUGAAUCGAUGAUCGGCUCGUUAGACUUGAUAUACACUAUUAAAAGUAUUUGAAAAUUAAAUUUCAUAAUUUUCGACAUCAUUUGUUGCUAUGAUCAAAAGGUCUCAAAAUUAACAAUUUUAAUGGCCGAUGUGAUACGUUUGUGAAUUUAACGGUGUAAAAUAAUCCAAAUCAGAUGAAAUUUUUAUAGAAAAUUCUUUUUACUAUUUAGAGUAAGAUCAGUACUCUGAUCUUAAAUUCAAGUCUUCUAUCAUCAUUUUUUAUGAGAUUUUUAUUUUCAGCGUUCAUUUUAGACUAUUUGUUUGAUAUGUAAAUGAUAUGAAAAUUAUGAAAUUUACUUUCCAAAUGCUUGUAGAUAUAGUGAGAUCAAGUCUAACGGCAGCGAUCGUCGAUUUGAAACCGCAUCAUUGAAAACACUUGGUAGCACGGAGGCCUCCGUGCUACCGAUAGUAUACCAGCUAUAUUAAUAUAUAUAUAUAAUAUAUAUAAUAUAUUAGUCUGGCUACUAUACUAUCAUGAGUACGAUCACUCUCGUACUCAUAAGUUUGUUUCAAUGAUAGAGUUCCCGAAUCAUAUAAUCCACACCGUUAAGCGUUAUCUAAGCAUUUAAACGUUUAGAAAUCAAAUUUAUAAUUUUUCGACCAUUUACCUUACGAUCAAAAAGCUCACAAAAUUGACAAUUUUUAACGGCUGGUAUGGAAUACUUGCUAGUUUAACGGUGCAAAAGUAUCCGAAUAUAUUGAAUCUUUGCUAGAAAAUUUUAUUCACUAUCUAGAUAAAGAUCAAUAACUCCGAUCUUAAAUUGAAGGAUCCAAUCAUCCAUUUUUAAGACAUCGUUCGAUUUUGACCGUUCAUUUUAUACCCGCUUGAUGGGCUUUAUUAUGAUUUCAAAAAAUUACGAAAUUAAUUUUCUAGCAGUUUCAAAUACUCAUAAUAGUAUAGUAGCCCUACUCUCUCUCUCUCUCUCUCUCUCUCUAUAUAUAUAUAUAUAUAUAUUAUUGAGCUAGAAUAUUUUUAGAAGCACCAAAGGGGUGCUUCUAAGUUUCUAGCCAUUGGAUCUACUCCUUGAAUACUAGCUAAUACCCCAUGGAUCAAAUACUAUUCCACCUACCACCAUCUACCACCAUCGUCUCAACCCUAUAUCUCUCCAUCCAAUGGUUAAAAACUCAAAAGCACCACCCCUUAGUGCUUUUGAAAGUAUUCUAGCUCAACUAUAUAUAUAUAUAUAUAUAUGACAUUCCUUAGAUUUUGAAAUUAUUUUAUAUAUAAGAUAUAAUAAGGUUAAACAUCUUAAUCCGAUUAUAGAAUUUUAGGCGAUAACUAGGUCCAAAAGACUAAUAGAGGUAAGCGUGUUACGACUAAUAGUUAGGUCCAAAAGACUAAUAGAGUUAAGCGUGUUACGACUAAACUAGCUCUAGAACAGAUGACAUUUCAGAAAAGCGAGGCGCCACUGUUGGUAUUAGAGUCAAUCAUUAAUCGAAAGUAUGAGAUGAGUUUCGAUUGAGUUAGAAUCAUACGGCAGGCAAAACGCAAUUCCCUGAGUGACAAUCGUGGGUGGAGGGCAAUUCUCUGACUAGCGAGACGAGUCCCACACCGUCUAAUACUUAUGAGUAUGCUUGAAUGUGACGAGGACAUCAGAACUUAAUGAAGAACAAAAUAUGACAUUCCUAAGAUUUGUAAUCGUCUUAUACACAACUUAUAAUAUGGUAAAACCUCUUAACCCAAUUAUAGCAGAAGCAUUUUGAGCAGUAAAUAGGCCGAAAGAUUAAGAGGAUUAAGCUUCUCAGAAUCAGAAUAAAUUUUUAUUGGAUGACCUCCUGAAUUAUGGGUCGUCACCGUACACAUAUCUAACAUUGCGUGCUGUAUACGAAAAGCACGCUGAGUUUGACAUAUGAGGUAUGAGAUACGCAAGAAUUUAAUUCAUUAGACCUACAACAUCAAUUAACGGCGAGAGAUUAGGAUUGGCUGUGACACGUGCUUUUCAUUUCCUCGCAAUGAGAUCAAAUGCCUCAACUAUGGUCCUAAUCUUUGCAUUUCAUCGUUAAUUACGCACUUGCCAUUAAAUCAUGCUGUUAAAUUGAAUGGAAAUGUCUACAUAUAUAAAGCAUCACAAUAGUUGUCUUGUAAUUGCAUUUGCACUUCUCAUUAGUGUAAAAACACAUUACUUUUUUUUAAAUUUUUUUUAUUACAUGUGCUUGGAAGUUACAUUGUGCUUACGUUGACAUUCAGAUUUUGUAAAUUAAGAACCUUUUUUUUUUUUCAAAACUUGAUUUUAGAAAAAUUUUAAUAUAAGAUAUCAAGUAUGAUGAGAGUGAAAGAAAAAUAAUAAAUGUAACGGAAAUGAAGUGCUAGAUUGGGAUGCUAUUAAUAACACUGAAUUUUUGUGCUUCGAAGUUAUUUUCGAUGAUGGAGCAUUCAAUUUGACGACUGGCACCACUGAAAGUGAUUUACGCAUAUAAAAUUUUUAGAUACCAAAUUUUAUAGAUUUUUUUACUUCAUUUAUCUAGUGAUCAAACUAUAUCAAAAGUGACAAUUUUAAGGGCUUUUUUUGCAAAUAGCCCCCAAAUAAAAUUCUUUUUUAAAAUUGGCCCUGUCAAAAAUUUAUUUGCAAAAAUGGCCCUGCCCCUGCCACGCAAGCGCCACGUCAGCGCCACGCGGGCGGGGCAAGAGUUUAAGUUGAACACGGUGAACCAUUCACCGUGUUCAAACACGGUGGCUGAAUCACCGUGUUCAACUUAAACACCUGGCCCCAGCCCCGCCCGCGUGGCGCUAACGUGGCGCUUGCGUGGCAGGGGCAGGGUCAUUUUUGCAAAUAAAUUUUUAACAGGACCAAUUUUAAAAUAAAAUUUUGUCAGGGGGCUAUUUGCAAAAAAAGCCCCAAUUUUAAUGAUAUGUAAAACAUAAUUCCUCAGACUAUGGAGAACUUGCAAUUUGGUACUCACAUUUUAAUUUUAGUAACUUCUUACUAUAAUCUAAAUUAGUGGACUAUAUGUUGAUAUGUUUGUAAUAUGGAAGUGGGGUGAGGUGACUAUACAUGUCAUAAGUGAUGAUGCAUUAAUAAUUAAAAUAUCAUAUCACUUUUUUAUUUUAGUUAUUCAUCGAUAAUUAAUGAAUUAAAGUAGGAGGUAAAACUUGACUGCAACAAUUUUAAAACUUCGUAGGAGGUAAAACUUGACUGCAACAAUUUUAAAAGUUCGAAUAAGAAGUUGCUAUAAAUUAAAGUUCAAGAAAUAAAGCGUCACAUGUACCAUAGUUUUACGACCAAAAUUGUGAUUUAGCCUUUUUUUUUUUAGUUAAUUUCAUACAGGUUCUUACAAAUAUAAUGAAUUACAAAUAUAUUCCUAUAAAGUUCAACUUUCAUAUGUUGUCCCUAUUAAAAUCUUGAUGUUUUCUAAUAUGUCCUUGCCGUUACGAUCCAUUAGAAAAAAUUAGCUAAUUAUAGGUAAAAUAUUUAAUUCUAGUUAGUUAAUGAGGUGAAUUGACCUUUUUAACCCUUUUUAAUUAAUAGUUGGGAUUUUUGGAGGGACAUAUUUGUAAUGAUAAAAAGGUCAUUUCACUUAUAUAAUAAACAGUGUUUUAACGGUAACAAAAUAGAGAGACAUAUUUAAAAAUAUUAGGACUUUUAUAAGGACAACAUAUGAAAGCUGAACUUUGCAUGAAUAUAUUUAUAAUUUAUUAUAUUUGUAGGGACAUGUAUGAAAUUAACCUUUUUUUUUUUAAGUCAAUGACUUUUCUACGGCACUUUGCUUUUAUUUGUAUGACUUGCUCAUAUGAAAGCUGCACUUUUUAGAAAUAUAUUUGUAAUUCACUAUAUUUAUAGGCUGCGUUUGGUUGGAGGGAUAUCCCAGAACAAGACGGCAUAUCCCUCUUUAUCCCCCCAAACACAAUGAAAAAUAAAACUUCGUAGUUGUUCCGGGCUUAACGGGUUGUUCCGGGAACAACCCGUUAAGCUUGUUCUCCCUUCCAUGGAGAACAAGGUGGAACUUCUCUUUUUUGUCUCUUUUUCUUUUUAUUAUGCCAUUUUAUUUAUUUUAUACUUUAUUUUAAUUAAUUUCAAAUAAAUUAAAUGAAUGCUCACAUUUAAUAAUAAAUAUAUUAAUAUAAAUAUUAUUUUUAUGAUAAUAUAUUUAUAUUUAAAUUUUAUUAUAUAAUAUAAAUUAAUGAAAUUUGAUAUAUUUUUUAUCUUAUUGAGUUUUAUCAUUUAUAUAUUAAUAUUUAAUUAUUUUAUUUUAUAUUAAGUAUUAUAUACAUAAAGUNACGGUAACAAAACAGAGAAAAAUAUUUAAAAAUAUUAGAACUUUUGUAAGAACAAUAUAUGAAAGCUGAACUUUGUAUGAAUAUAUUUAUAAUUUUUUAUAUUUGCAGGGACAUGUAUGAAAUUAACCUUUUUUUUAAUGACUUUUCUACGGCACUUUGCUUUUAUUUGUAUGACUUGCUUUGGCCUUUUGGUCAAUGUUUAAUUAAUUAACUUUAAAAUAAAAGGAGCAACAUAUGAAAGCUGCACUUUUUAGGAAUAUAUUUGUAAUUCACUAUAUUUACAGAAAUUUUUAUGGAAUUAAUAUUUUUUUUUAAUGACUUUUCUGCGGCACUUUGCUUUUAUUUUUAUGACUUGCUUUGGCCUUUGGUCAAUGUUUAAUUAAUUAACUUUAAAAUAAAAGAAGCAACUUCUUUUCAAUUAGAUAUGUUAUAAUAUCAUUGGCACGUUCUCCAUGGGAUUAAAUGCUAAUUAAUUAAAGUCUCCUUUAAGGAAGCAAUCCUAGGGUUGCAUAGAAUUGAUUUUUUUAUUUAAUUUUUUACUUUUUUUUAUUUAUUAUAUUUUACCUUAAAGAGCCUAGGUUGAUUGCGUUGGUCUUUAUAUUUAAUUUGUGGAAAAAUAAAGCAAGUCAUAAGUCCAAAAUAUGUCGUAUACAAUAGAACUGAUUCGACCGAAAAGUUUAAACAGUUUAAUAUAGAUUCGAUUACGCAAAGGCCCAGUCAAAAUAAUUACAAUAAGAAUAUGAUUCCUAGUGUUUAAUCUAUAAAAAUCGUAUUCCAAGAUGAAUAUAAUAGACAAAUAAAAAUAUGAAUAAUAUAUAAAAAUUUAAUUUGUUAAAUAUUGAAGGUCAGAACUAAACUCGCCCUCUCACAAAAUAGCCGACUAUAUUACCAAAACAUUAAGUCAAGGGUCUGCAUAGUUCAAUACUCUAUAUUUUCCACUAAAAAUAUUUUAAAUAUUUUUAAUUUGUUUCCUAUGUGUCUAAUUAAUUAAUAAACUUAAAAGAAAGAAAGGCAACUUUGUCACAAUUAGACAUGUUAUUAUAAUUGGGCUAAUUUUUUGGUAAAAAUGUAAAGAACUUAUCUGAAUUAUAAAUCAUUUUGAGUUAGCUAUCCAACUUUUUAAAAUUUCAGAUUUACUAUCCAGCCUUUCAAUUUACUUGAUUUAAAUCAGUCAACAGUGCUUGAACUUUAAAAUUUAAGCUAAUUACUUACUCUAAUAAAUUAUAUGUAGUUGUGAGAAUUGUAUUCACUAGACUAACUAAAUCUGUGAAGAUAGACGAUGCAUUCAAAUUUAGAAGUAAAAGUAUCGCCGGCUGACUUAAAUCAAAUAAAUUAAAAAAUUAGAUAGCUAAUUUAAAAUGGUCCAUAGCUCCAAUAUGUUUUAUAAGUUUUUAUCUAAUUUUUAAGAUUGGAUCGCUAACUCAAAAUGGUUGAGGGAUAAAGUAUGACAACGGUUCAAUUACUUAAGAUAUGACACAUAAAUUGGAACUUAUUGAACCGAACAGCUAAACAGCUAUAUAUAAAUGUGAUUACACAAUUAUAAAUAGCUAAACAGUGAAAUUCACCAACAAAGGAACAGCACAAAUAAUUCUGAGUUUAAGAAAAAAACAUUGUUUAUUUACAUUUCCAAACUCUGAGCUCGUAAAAUUUUGUCAAAUUUAAUCCGAAUGUUGAACUUGUGCUGUCUCACUGUAACGCCCCAAUAAUUCCACAUCGGAUGAAAAAAUAAUUCUGAUUAGAAUAUAUGAGGCCUAAUAAUAACUGGUCUUAAAUAUUUUAAGCCGAUGGUUUGGACCUAACGAGUUAUUAUUAUUAGCGGGUCGACUCGUUACAAUAGAUAUCAGAGUCGAAUACCACUGGAAAGUGUGAGAGCUAAGUGUUAUGCGGGACAAAUUGCUAUACUAACGAGUUUGGUAGGAGCUCUAACAUCGCUUGAUAAUUCUGACAUAUAUGUCUGUGGUCUGGAUUUGAACAGUCUAUGUAAUAACUAGAUUUAAAUAUUUUGGACCCAAAAUUGCCUGAUAAUUCUGACAUAUAUGUCUGUGGUCUGGAUUUGGACAGUCUAUAUAAUAACUGAAUUUAAGCAUUUUCGGCCCAAAUCACCUGAUAAUUCUGACAUAUAUGUCUGUGGACUGGAUUUGAACACUUCAUAUAAUAACUAGAUUUAAGUAUUUUGGCCCGGUGUUUUGGAUUCAACGAGUUAUUGCUGCUAACGGGUCGGAUCGUUACACUCACAAAAUGUCACGCCCCGAAUUACCACAUUUUUUCGGGUAUGCCAACAGACCCACUGUAUACAUAGGAAUUUUCCGUGUAUACGAAGCGAUAGCGGUACCUGUAAUCACAACAUAACUACAACCAGUAGUGUAGAGCUGCUAAACUGAAACCUGUAUAAAUAAAACAUAAAGGAGUUCUGGUACAUACAAAAGUCCACGACCCAACUCGCUCCAGCAAGUACAAUGACAACAUAACAGUAUGUACAAAGAAAGCCCCAAAACUAUCUCUGUAUGGUACUUCUCUAGCACUGCGACAAGACUGGUAGAGAUCUAGCUCGCGACGCCCUUCCCACGGUCCAAGUCAGCAACAACAGCAGCCGCAGACGAAGGCUCUGUUAAAAGGUGUUAACAACUGGGUGUGAGAACUACUAUAAAACAAAUAGUUCUCAGUAGGUACUGCCACCGACCUCAACGGCUCACCCACUAGGUCUACAGAAAAAUAUGCACAAGGAUAGUAAAGGAAGCUGGAAAAACUCUACAGCUACAUGCCACUAUACUAUCGCUAAAUACUACGAGUUAUCUGUAGAUAUAACAACAACAAUCUCUGACCCAAUCUUACUAGGGAUUGUGAUAUACCCAUUCCGCCUGUCGAAGCUACACCGUACACCACCCCGAGGGCUGCCGGUGGAGAGUAGAGUCCAAGAAGACAACUACAACAUCAACGCAAAGCAAAGUAGCCAGACUCUGGAGCGGCACUCUGUCGGAUCGUUGGCGCUAACCAUUAAUCCCAAAAGCUCAAGCUGUUAGAAAUACGCAACCAAUUCACUUAAAGCGUACAGAAACAUCGUCCACGGGUCUCGAUUGUGACUCGGCCCACCUGGCCUCACGCCACUUCGUAUAUGGCUCAGCCUAACCCAGCCUCACGCCAUUUCGAACAUGACUCAGCCUACAUGGCCUCCCGUCACAGGGCAGGAUGCUGGCCCAUUUAAGCGAACAAUCCCCCCUCCAACACCUGCACACAUUUGGAGCAUGCAGGAAUCGAACCCGUGACCUCUGGCUCUGAUACCACUUGUCGAAUCGUUGGUGCUAACCAUUAAUCCUAAAAUCUCGAGCUGUUAGAAAUACGCAACCAAUUCACUUAAAGCGUACAGAAACAGCGUCCACGGGUCUCGAUUGUGACUCGGCCCAUCUGGCCUCACGCCACUUCGAAUAUGCCUCGGCCCAACCCAGCCUCACACCAUUUCGAACAUGACUCGGCCCACAUGGCCUCUCGCCACAGGGCAGGAUACUGGCCCAUUUAAGCCAACACACUCGUGGGCGCGGCCCAACCAAGUAUACAAGCGUAUCUCUGCCGAGCUCAAUCAGGCUCUCACAGGCUGUAGUCAAUGCAAAUGGGUCUAACUGGUUUAACAACCAAAACUCACGUGCCCUUGGCACAAUCUGAUGCAAAUCUGGGUCUACUGUCAACCUCGACGCCACCCGACAGUACAAAAUAGUCUACACACUACUGUCAAACGACCUCGGCAUCUCAGCAUGAGUGUAAACUCAUUCUACACUAAUUUGGAUAUCCACCGCAUACUAAUAGUGGCAAUACAAAAGAACCACAGCUCCUAAAGCUAAAACUGGUAAUUUUUCAGAAAUGACAGUGUAGGGUUCAAUAUUUUUCUGCUAAGUCAAUUCCAAGUCAAACAUAUAAAACGAAACAAGAAUUUAAAGCUCCAACUCAGAUUUCAUAACAAACUAUGUAAAUCGGUGAAUUGAGCUACUAACAUGAUAUUACACAUGAAAUACACAUGCUGACAAAAUCUCGGCUUAGGAGUAAAUCCGACAAUUUCGGUAAAUUUCAACCCACCUCGAAAAGCUUGUCUAACCACGGCGAGAAGUCGAAAGGAGGGGAUCCACGCGCUCGCCCGGCCUCCAACGGCGCAACCGCUAUGCACACACGCUCGAACGACCCUCCGGAUCAAUAUCAAAAUCCACCCGAGCUCGAGCCGUGACCUCCACCACGAGCGAUGUCCAAAACUAGAGAAAGAGAGGGAGUAGCAACAAAACCUCCCCUCAGAGCUCUCUACAAGUAUAAAAGGGCUGAGGAUAAACAUUGGGGUGAACGUCGCUUCAAAAGACCAAACUACCCUUACCUACUCAAAAAUCCAGCUGGAGUACCAGUACUCCACUUGAAUACCGGUAGUCGGGCCUUAAGCCCGCAGCCUCGCACAGUGGGUACCGGUACCAGCCCGAUGCAGUACCGGUCCCCGGGCUCGAUACCGGUACUCGACAGGUCAGUACCGGUACUCAGCAUCAUCUCACGCAAACCCGAGAGCAUCCUAUUUUGUAAUCCCACUGGAGUACCGGUACCCUUCUCUGGUACCGGUACUCAAUACUGAAAUCCUGCACUUUGCGGAUUUCAGUGUCAGAACUCCACUCUCGCCUCGCGUUGAGUCCGUUUUGCGUUCAUUUCGCGCCAAAACGACUCCAACUUGUUCCUAUACUCUCACGACGUGUCGACAAGUCUCAGAUGCUGAAAUCUUAUACUAUAACAAAAACGGUCUAUAGCGACACUUUUAAAUGUCGGUACAGGUUAAAAAAAGUGCUGCUGGCUAAAUUACCGACACUUUUAAAAAAUGUUGCUAUAUGUGGAGUCGCUAGGUAUAUAGUGACAAUUAAAGAGUGUCGCUAUAACCUAAAAAGAGUGCUGCUAAUUUAGCAAUACUUAUUUAAGCAUCUAGCAACCGCCGGAACUUUACCUCGUUAGUUGCGGUGGCGGAGGAGGACGAAAGGGAAGGGGCCUUUCGUCUAGCAUUUCAGUGGAAUGAGUGAGAGGAGAAGGGGAGAUGAUUUUUUUUUAUUUUUUCUUUUCUAUUUGUAAUCGGGUCAAAUGGGCUGGGUUGGGUGGGUUGAGUAGAGUAACUUUUUAUUUUUUCUUGGAUUCGGCUUUAUAUUUAGACAUUAGUAGAUUUUUUUUUUUAAUUUUGGCAUAAAUAGGAUACUUAGACAAAAAUGUCCCAAACAUGUAUCGUUAUAACUUAAUUUUGUUGUAGUGUAAUUACGGGCAACCAAACACCAAGGACACAACACAAAAUUUGACUCCGUCAUCUUAUUACAACCAAUAAUUAGUUAAUUAAUAUGAGGAGAUUGUUGCCAAUUUGAAUUGACUCAUAGCCUUCUAUGUUAUUAAGUUCUAAUUUUUUAAGUUUUCUUCAUUUAUCACGGCAAUUCUUAGUGUAUAAAUAAGUCAAAUAUUCCCCUUCACAUGUCAAAUAUGAAUUUUAAGAAGACUCAUAACAACAACAACUAGUAUUAUUAUCAUUAAGCUCAAACCUUUAGCUCAAAAUAUUUAAUUGUCUUUUUUGUAUUGGCGUGCGGCCAUCUAAACUCAUUAGAUAAAGUGUACGUAGUUAGAGUAAAAAUACAUAUAGAUACGCUUCUCCAUUUUCAAAUAGCACUAUAAAAAAUAUAUUGUAACUGACUCACUGUGAUAUCGCAAUGUGAUAUUUCGUAAAAAACUAAAAAUGAGUAUUGUGUUUUGUUUUUGAGAGAGAAAAAUGACGUGUUAUCUACUUUAUUUAUUAUUUUUUUAAUAAAUAAACUUAGCUAGAAAUGUGAAGUUAUUUUACUUUGAAUUUAAAAUCUCGAAUAUUAAUCACAGUGUAAUACUUUAUUCGUUGUCCUUCUCCUCGUAACAGGAUAUUUUUUUAAUUGUACUUUCUCAUUAUAUAUAAUGUGUUGGAAAUAAUAGGGCAGCGGAAACUUACAAACUGGAUAGCCAACGUAUCCGGGAACCCGAAUCGAAUUGGAUUGCUUGUUUUACAAGCUUUUUUGGAUCGUCCUUGUCUCGAUGCUUCUGGAUCUCCCACGUUUCUCGCCUUCUCCCACGCCUACGCCUUACGUCACGGAUCGGGUGCGUCGAAUGCGGAUGGGAUGCAACGGAUGUCAAUCGAAGAGGUCUACCAGAGUCCUCUUCUAUGUCCACGCUCCAAAACCCCGAGAACGUACAUGGAAAUCACAGAGAGGAAGAAAGGAAAAAAUGAGGAAGAUAUUUUGUGGAUUAUCGAAUUAGAUCGUAUUCGAUCGUCUCUCUUUCGGGAGAGAAAAGGGGGCGUAUAUAUAGAAUAACGGAACCUCUAAAUAUCAUGAAUCUCAUAUAAAUUAGGAUGAGGAUUAGGAUAUCUAUUAACAUAUAAUAGAUAUCCACUAGUAGAUGCGUUUCUUAACUGAUAAGAAACAUAUGAUUCAUUCUUAUCCUAAACUUAUUAGGAUAAAUCAUGAUCCACGUCUUAUGUGGAUUGGGUUAUAUCAUAACCCGCCAAUGUGGACACACCAUAUGGCAACAAUCUCCCACUUAGCCACAUUGGCCAAUUUUCUCUGACUUAUUCAUCUCUUCAUACGGGUAAUGGGGCGUGCGACCUGGCGAAAGAAACACAUGCAGGAGUGCUAUAUUAAGUCACCACCCAACUAACAUAGCACAUCACUAACUUAAUUCGUCUAUGCCCUAGACGUUUCAACACACACCGGAUCAAGCAUCACAAAGUCCCUCUCCUGUAAUGACGGGGCUCGACCCCACCGUUAUUUCUCGUACUCAUGAUUAUCUCAAGUAACAUAACCAAGAUAACCGCUCGGGUAAUGAGUCACAAGACUUACGUGGUGUGUUAUCGAAAUAUCUUCCUCAGCCCCUCACGUUAAUCCAUAUUGGCCCAAGCACUUUACUAGACAUGCUCCGCAAGAUCGUAUUUUCUCAUGACCCUGAGAUACACGCUAAGUUAGUUACUUUGGACGUCCACUUCAUAUCGUAGUUCUAAGUCGAGGGCACAAAAGGGUUAGUGCUCACACAGUGACAUAGAGGGAAGAACUUAUGUCACUCUACUAACUGGUCGACAAGCACAUAUAGUAUGAUAUGUAUGCUAUGGCGGAGCUCCCACUCAAUGGCUCAUGUCACGCUCUAAAGAAAACGCCAUACGAACCUUGGUCUAGGUACCACUAAGGUAUCUAACCACCACAACUCAAGUCAUCUCUCUAACCUGAGUACUUAGGUUCGGCUACUAUACAGGCUCGAUAUAAAAUUUCACAAAAACUUUCAUAUCCAACACUUUAGAAUCUCAUCUUAAACUAAUUAAGGCGACUUUAAAUUAUAUCAAUACUUCAUUCAUAACAUAUAUGAACAAAGUAAUCAUAUUACAACUACUCAAGUUUAAUAUGAUUAUCUAGUCUCAUCCUGCUCACCACUUAGGUGCCAGGGCGAUCACCCGUGUGAGUGGGCUGAUCUGAGCCUGGUGACUUAUCGAAUAUGUGCCUACUAGUAUUAAUUACGCAAUCACAUUAAAAGAAGAAAAACAUAUUUUUAUUAAUAAAGCGUAAGAUACAAAAUAAUGUCCAUAUCAAAACCUACGAAGACCCAAACUCCUAACGUGGGUCUGAAACAUAUCCCUAGCUAUCGGCUUCGGCAACGGAUCAGGCACCAUUCUAGUGGUGGAGAUAUGCCUAAGAAUGACCUCGCUUAGCCUGAUCAUGUCUCAAAUGUAGUGAAAACGGAUAUCUAUAUGCUUUGUCCUGCCGUGAUACUUGGGAUCUUUCACAUACUCUAGGGCAGCCAUGCUGUUAGAGAACAUCUCAACAGGUUCAUUUGCUCGAGUCACGAUGUCGAGAUGCUGGAGAAAUCUCCUCAGCCAAACAGCCUCUUGAACGGCCACUGAACAAGCAACGUACUCCGCUUCCAUGGUUGACAAGGCAAUAUGGCUCGCUUCUUACUGCACCAAGAAAUUGCCCCACCUCCAAGCAUAAACAUAUAGCCUGAAGUGGACAUGCGUUCAUCUCUAUCACCGCCCCAAUCAGCAUCACUAUAUCCUUUCAAUCUCAAGUCCCCAGCUUGGAAGCAGAGAACGAGAUCACUGGUUCCUCUUAAAUAUCGAAGGAUUCUCUUGACCGCUUGCAAAUGAAUGGGUCCCAGGUUGCUCUAGUUAAACCAACAGCGAAACAAAUGUCAGGUCGAGUACACAUCAUAGCGUACAUCAAGCUGCCAACAGCACUCGCAUAAGGAACUUUACUCAUUUGCUCCUUUUCUUUAUCCGUUUUAGGACACUUAUCAAGAGUUAGAGUGUGAUUCUUCUCCACUGGAGUGUCAACGGAUUUACAAUGAUGCAUCCUAAAACACUCUAGAAUCUUUUUAAUAUAAGUUUCUUGAGACAAACCAAGAAGCUUCCUAAAGCGAUCACGGAUGACCUUCACUCCGAGCACAUAGCUCGCCUCACCUAUGUCUUUCAUUUCAAAAUUGAAAGACAACCACUCCUUAGUGGUAUUGAUUAACUCCAUGUCAUUUCCAGCCAAUAGUAUAUCGUCGACGUAUAGAGAGAGAAACAAAAUUCCAUUCUCUGUCUUCUUGACAUAUACACAGUGGUCCUCCUCUAUCAUGGACAUACCGAUAGAGGUGAUGGCUUCAUGAAACCUGAAAUACCACUGUCUCGACGACUGCUUGAGACCAUAAAUGGAUCUUUUAAGACGACAAACUUUGUCUUCUUGACUUUUGAGUAUAAAACCCUCAGGUUGAUCCAUAUAGAUCUCCUCCAUCAAUUCUCCAUUGAGAAAAGCUAUCUUGACAUCUAUUUGGAACAAUUCUAAAUCUAGGUGUGCCACUAAGGUUAGAAUCAAACAAACAGAGGCAAAUCGCACAACGGGAGCAAACGUCUCGUUGUAAUCUACCCCUUGCCUCCGAGUGUAGCCCUUGGCCACGAGCCGAGCCUUAUAUUUAUGUAGUGUUCUUGACCUUUGGAUAGGAUUGGCUUAGUAUUAGUGACUGGUCGACAUCUGGAGAGUGUCGGACUGAGUUGGAGUCAAUUCUGCACGAAUUGGAUGUAGAAUUGGACUCAGCGCACUCAAAUAGGCAAAACUGGAGUUUUGCCAGAUUCGGGCGCCCAGAACAUUUUAGGGUCGCCCAGAACUGAGUGUUGAAUUUAACUGAAACUGGAAGCCAAUUCGGAUCCCAUGUUCCGGGCGCCUUGAUGUGGGUCCGGAAAUUCGACAUCGUGAAUAUCGCUUGCUUCGACGCGUGGCAGGGCGGUAGGUGAGUUCCACUGGAGCCAUUUACGGGCGCAGCACACCGCGAGCGGAGAGUCCGAGGAGCCCGGUUUGUGCAGUCGGGAUGUUCUAGUCGCCCAGAACAUGGUUCCGGGCGCCCAGAAAUGCCCGUUUCUGCAGGGACACUGGAUAGCAGCUUGAGUUCCUGAGGCUUUUUGGAUCACUCUAACUCACUAUAAAUAGAUGGAAUGCGCCCCUUUGCUGUUCUUUUCCUCCCUUCUUCACAGAGAAGUCCCUUUUAGAAUCUCUACCCUCGGAUUUGCCUCAAUUUGCAUCAAACUUCCAUUGAUCCAGCUUGAUGGAGUGCUGAUUCUGCAGUUCUUCAGCAACGACCUCCAGUGUUUUGGCUCGUGCGCGACGUAGGAAGGUCGGAUUUUGACGAAACUUGGUUUGCUGGAUUUUAGACUUCUAGAGGAAUCUACGAAGCCCUGAAUUGCAGAUUUUGGUUGAGGUUAACUUGGUCAAACUGAGGCUUUUCUAGACUGCUGUUGACCUUGAGCUGAAAAUGGGAUUUUUGAGCUUUUCUUGAUGCUAUCUUUGUUGGCAGUGGGAUUUUGGACCUGAGAUUGAUCACCCAUCAGUAGUGGCUGGAUUUGGAUCUGUCCUCACCAGAUUUAGAGAUCAUUAGGUGAGUUUUGACAUUGGAAUUGAGAUAAUUAAGCUUAAGUGCUGAAAUUUUUGGUAAAUUGAUGGUUUUUAUUGAAUUUUUGGGUGAAUUGUAAAUCCAGAUCUUGAGGGGCUUUGUUGCUGGUUUGGAGGUGUUUCCAGCAGUGUUGCUUGUGAUCCGAGACCAUCUUGCUGCCAGGAGUUGCACUAGAGGUGGGUGUAUCAUCGGUUUCGCUCCUAAGUGCAUGUUUAGUCGACGUGUAUAGUUCGAUUUUUGUAUAUCAUGCUUUAAUUCAUCGAUUAGCAUCUUGAAUGUAAUAUGAAUGUAGAAGCAUGCUGAAAUGAAUAUUUAUAUUAUACAUGUUGGACUUGAAAUUUGACUUAGGAGAAAACCUGCGUUUUGACCCGUCAUAUGCUUAAACUACCAGAUUUAGCUCUAGGAGCCGUGAUUCGAUUGUAUCGUUGCAGUAUCAGUGCGAUGGAUACCUGGGGUAGUUUAGAAGGCAUUUACGCUCGUGCUGGGGUGCCGAGCUUAUUUUUCAGCAGAGUUUAGGCUGUUUCGGGUCGUUGGGUGCCGUUCGGGUUAGCGGUGGACCCAGAUUCUUGUUUUGGUCACAGAUUGUGCCGAGGGCACGUGGGUUUGGUUUGUAGACCUGUUUUGACCCUGUUUACUUGACUUUGGCUAGUUGGAGCCUGAUUGAGCUCGACAGAGAUACGCUGCAUACUCGGUUGGGUAGCGCCUACGAGUGCCACUUCGGAGUCAGGCUUUGUGCUUUCGCAUUGGUGUCGCUUAUGCCAGUUGGACUUGCUCUCCACGGACUAGUUAGUGUGGAUAGAGCCCGAUAGUCGCAACGGGGCAGGGACGGAUGUAUUCACAGUCCCGAGGACGGGUAUGCUUACAGUCCCGAUUUGAUUGGGUCAGAUUGGACAUUUUCUACAGUUGGUUAGUGUAGAGCAUGAUAGAGUAGUGUUUGAUAGCGGUAGACUUUAUUCCUGCAUUUACUACUAUUUUUGCUCCCUUCUAUAGACUUAGUGGGUGGACCGAUGUUGUUUUGGGCGGUACCCACUAAGGACUACUUGUUUUUACAGUAGUUCUCACGCCCAGUUGUUACCUAUGUUUUUGCAGAGCCACAGGUUCCGGCUGCUGCACCGUCUGCGGACCAGGAUCGAGGCAAGGGCGUCGCGAGUUAGAGCCCUACCCGACGUGCUGAGCUAGAGGUGCCCUACUGCAGGUAGAUGUUUUGUUUCGAGUUUAUGUACAUAGUUGACUUAACUCGCCAGUGCGAGUAGCUCUGUAUUUUGGAUCUGAACUAUGUAUAUGAAACUCUGUUUUAUUUAGCUUCUGUUUUCUCUAGCAGCUCUCUACUACUGUUCGUAGUAGUGUUUGAUUUACAGGUACAGCUAUCGCUUCGUAUACAGGGAAAAUUUCUUUGUAUACGGCGGAUUUGUCGGCGUGCCCGGGGAACGUGUAAUCCGGGGCGUGACAGAUUAAGUUGGUAUCAGAGCUUUGCUGUAGGUCGUGGGGACCUAGGAAACCUAAGUUUGGCAAACCUUAGGGAAGCAAGACGUGAGAGGCGUAAUUUUAUUGCGAAAGUCAAUGAUUAUUUGUUUUAACUCCUCUUAGAGUAGAGUGAGUGACUGAAGGAGUUUCUGUUUUGGCCUGAGAAAUUAUGUUGGCUGCAGACGACAUAAUUUUGGAGGAAAACAGGGACCGCCUUCUAGACUUUCGUUGAUUGGGUCGAGAGUGUUGCGUUGUAUCUGACCCCGAUUUGUUCCUUUCAGCUAUGUAUCGUCGCCGAGGUCGACCGUCGUUGCGGGAGCGCGCCCAGUUGGCGCGGGAUCAUGCUGGACCUUCUGAGAGAUCUGAGCAGAUGGAGCAGAGUACUCGGCAGGAGCAGGGUGACAGACUGGGGGCGAGUGUACCCCCUGUUGUGGAGCCGAGUGCGCGACCAGAGACUAGCGCACCCCCUGAUUUGAGUGCACAGUUAGCUGCCCUGACCGAGGUGACGAGACAGCAGGGGGAGUUAUUGCAGAGGUUGUGUGAGAGGAUAGCUCAGCCACCGAGUUCAGCACCGAGAGUACCAGAGUCGCCAGUGCCACCCCCGACUACUCCAGUGACCGCACCAGCUGCAGCAGUUCCUCCGUCGGCAGCAGUUCCAGUAGCGCCAGUUGCGCCUGCUAGGGGGCCAGUACCGUUGACUGAGGCCGAGCAGGAGCGGUGGACGGAGAGAUUAGCUCGUUUUCGCCGAUUUGAUCCACCGAUCUUCGAUGGCAGAGGCACUGAGGCCUGGAUUGUUGAAGGAUGGGUCAGUGCGAUGGAGAAGUUAUUCGAGGAUCUGUUUGUUCCAGAGUGGGAGCAGAUACCUCUGGGAGUACACUAUCUAUCAGGUGAUACACAUGAUUUGUGGCAGAAAGCGAGGCGAGACCGGGGACUGGUGGCGACGCAGCUGAGGUGGGAUGAGUUCUGUGGAAUGCUGUAUGGGAUGUAUUUUCCCAACAGCAUGAAACAGAAGAUCGAGGAGGAUUUGAAGAGGAUCCAGCAGGGUGAGCGGACAGUUCAGGAGUACGUUCGGGAGUUUACUAGGUUUCUGAAUUGUGUUCUGUUCGUGGCCAGAGACGAGACACAUAGGGUUUACUUGUUUGAGCAGGGUUUGAGACCUAACCUUUUCAGGUUUGUUAGGGCGCAGAGGUCGAGGACUCUGGAUGCGUCCAUUGAGCAGGCAUUAUGGGAGGAGAGAGGAGAGGUGUCGCUCAGAGAGAGGGCUCAGGGGCCGGGACUGAGCCAGGAUAGGAAGCGCCCAGCUCUAGACGACGGAGGCCAGUCGAGUAGCAGACGUCCGCCGAGGCCUCCACGAUCUCGUUCUCAGGGUCGUGGGUUCUCGGGACGCCAGCGAUCCAGGGACUCUCGUCAGAGGGGACAGCCAGAGAGGACGCCGCAGUGUGUGAUAUGCGGAGGACCACACUGGCCCAGACAGUAUGAGCAGAGGGAGAGCCGGUGCUACGGGUGUGGUCAGCCGGGACACAUGAGGACAGCUUGUCCUCGAGCAGCAUCUCCAGCACCAUCAUCAGCUUCAGCUCCACCAGCACCUCAGCAGUCAUUCAGAGCAGCACCACCGAGUUACCACCAGGAGGAUAGGUCGUCCGAGCCGCGACAGGGUGAGUGGCGACAGUAGGCUCAGAGUGGCAGAGUUUAUGCAACUCAGGUGGAGGACUCUUCAGCAGCCGACCGAGUGGUGGCAGGUAUCACUUUGAUUUUCGGCAUUUGUACUCGUACUCUUUUUGAUACUGGAGCUUCGCAUUCCUUUGUUUGCCGAGCAUUUGCAUUGUUGCAUGGUCUAGAGUUAGGAUCCUUGUCACAGGCACGAGAGGUGCAGAUCCUCGACCAUGUCUUGCAGGUUACAAAGUGUUGUUGGUCCUGUCCGGUGCAGUUAGACUCUUGGAUCAUGCCCGCAGACCUGUUGGUGUUAGGGUAGCUGCAGGACUUCGACGUAGUGCUCGGUAUGGAUUGGCUGGCGCGGUACUAUGCUACUAUCGACUGUGGAGCGAGGAUUGUGACGUUCCGCGAGCCAGGCCAGGAGGAGUUCACCUUCAGAGGCUGUAGGAGCACGUUGUUUGCCACUUGGAUAUCUUCGGCGAGGGCUCGACAGCUGAUGAGUAGAGGAUGUGUUGCUUUUCUAGCGAUUGUAACAGAGGUGCCUACGGCGGCGCUGGGACUCGAGGAUAUCCCUAUAGUCCGCGAGUUUCCGGAUAUGUUUCCCCCGGAGUUGAUGACGAUGCCGCCGGAGAGGGAGAUUGAGUUUGUGAUUGAUGUAGUUCCUGGAACUGCACCAAUCUCAAAGGCACCUUAUAGGAUGGCACCGGCAGAGCUGAGAGAGCUAAAGGCGCAGCUUCAGGAUCUGAUGGAUAGAGGGUUUGUGAGACCCAGUGUGUCGCCUUGGGGAGCGCCGGUGUUAUUUGUAAAGAAGAAGGAUGGUUCGCUCAGGUUAUGUGUUGAUUACCGGGAGCUGAAUAAAGUGACCAUCAAGAACAAGUAUCCUCUGCCGCGCAUUGAUGAUCUAUUCGAUCAGCUGCAAGGAUCUUGUGUCUUUUCGAAGAUUGAUCUCCAGUCAGGUUACCACCAGCUGAGGGUGAGGGCCGAGGAUGUUCCCAAGACGGCUUUUCGGACUCGGUACGGGCAUUAUGAGUUCACGGUGAUGCCUUUUGGAUUGACGAAUGCCCCUGCCGCAUUCAUGGAUUUGAUGAACAGAGUGUUCAAGCCGUUCUUGGAUAGGUUUGUGGUAGUCUUCAUCGACGAUAUCCUGAUUUACUCCCGGAGUGAUGCUGAGCAUGAGGAGCACUUGAGGAUUGUGCUACAGCUUCUGCGCGAGAAGAAGUUGUAUGCCAAGUUAAAGAAGUGCGAGUUCUGGCUACGGGAGGUUGCUUUCUUGGGCCACGUGAUUUCAGCUGAGGGCGUAGCAGUGGACCCGAAGAAGAUUGAGGCGAUUCGAGAUUGGCCUAGACCGACGACGGUUACUGAGGUACGGAGCUUCCUGGGACUGGCAGGAUAUUACCGUCGGUUUGUGGAAGGCUUUGCGAAGCUUUCCACACCCCUCACACGCUUGACGCGGAAGGGGAUUCGUUUUGUCUGGAGCGACGACUGUCAGAGGAGCUUUGACGAGUUGAGAUUGAGGUUGAUGUCGGCUCCUAUCCUUGCCCUUCCUGUUAUGGGCGAAGGAUUUGUGAUCUACAGUGAUGCAUCGCACAGUGGACUUGGUUGCGUGCUGAUGCAGCAUGGUAGGGUGAUUGCUUAUGCUUCACGGCAGUUAAAGGAUUAUGAGAAGAAUUACCCUACGCAUGACUUGGAGCUUGCCGCGGUGGUUUUUGCUUUGAAGCUCUGGCGGCAUUACUUGUACGGCGAGCACUGCGAGAUUUUUACUGAUCAUAAAAGUCUCAAGUAUCUGUUCACCCAAAAGGAGUUGAAUUUGAGACAGCGCCGGUGGUUGGAGUUGCUGAAGGAUUAUGACAUCAGUAUCCAGUAUCAUCCCGGCAAGGCGAAUGUGGUGGCAGAUGCGUUGAGCAGGAAGGCAGUGCAGAGCUUGAGUAUGUUGAUCACUCGGCAGAGACCGUUACUCGAGGAGCUGAGACGGCUGGGACUCGAGGUAGUGUCUCCUGGGUUUACUGCGAGAUUGACGUCUAUGAUCUUACAGCCCACUCUGUUGGACAGGAUUCGAGAGAAACAGAGUGGGGAUCCACACUUGUCGAGGAUUCGAGAGCAGCUUGAGAGGGGACAGGCCGAGGGCUUUGUUGUGGACAGUUCGGGAGUACUGCGGUACAGGGACCGACUGUGUGUACCUAUGGAUUCAGAGAUCCGAGAGGACAUCUUGAGAGAGGCUCACUGUUCACCUUAUACGGUUCACCCCGGUGGAACCAAAAUGUAUAAGGAUUUAAAGGCUCAGUUUUGGUGGAAUGGAAUGAAGAGGGACAUUGGUAGAUUUGUGGCUCAGUGUCUGACUUGUCAACAGGUAAAGGCCGAGCAUCAGGUACCUGCUGGCAAGCUUCAGAGUCUACCAGUGCCCGAGUGGAAAUGGGAGCAGAUCACGAUGGACUUUGUCGUCGGAUUGCCUAGAGCACAGGGUGGUUUUGAUGCGAUUUGGGUGAUAGUGGACAGACUGACCAAGUCUGCUCACUUCUUACCAGUGCAGACCACUUGGUCCAGAGAGAGACUCGCUCAGUUGUAUUUGGAUGAGAUAGUGAGGUUGCAUGGCGUGCCCACUUCGAUAGUAUCCGACCGAGACCCGAGGUUCGUCUUGUACUUUUGGAGGAGUCUUCAGACGGCCUUGGGCACUGUCUGCCACCACGAAUGACGUACCUCGCACGGUCGAUGAAUUUUCGGUGCGUGGGGUAGUAUUCAUGAUUCAGAUGAGUAUUUAUAUGUAUGUGGGUAUCAGGUUUUGCGGGUCCAUGGCUUCCAAUAGAUGCAAGCAUCUAUUGUUAAUUACCCCCUGUAGAUUGGGGUACCUUCGAUUAGGAGACCUUUAUAGAUGGGAUGAGAUGAAUCGCGUCUCGGUUUAUUGAAUCCUAAGUAUAUGUAUUAGGAUUCAGUUAGAUUUGAGGUUGAUUAGGCCCUAAGUAUAUGUGUUAAGACCUGAUCGAUAUUAAACUCUAUGUAUUAGAGUCUAAUUGGUUCAUGAGAUAUGGGUGUGAGAUCUGGGCAUUGGUUCAUAAGAUUUGGGUAUUGGUUUAUGAGAUUUGGGUAUUGGUUCAUGGGAUAUGGGCAUUGGUUUAUGAGAUUUGGGUAUUGGUUCAUGGGAUAUGAGUAUUAGGUUGGAUGUAUGGUUCAUGGGAUUUGGUCCAUGAGGUUUGGUGUAUGGUUUAUGGGAUUUGGUCCAUGAACUUGUUUUUGGCUCAUGGGAUUUGGUCCAUAAGGUUUGGUUUUGGUUCAUUUGGGUUCAAGUUUGGGUUUAUUUGUGGGUUUAUUUGUGAACUAGGUUUGGUUUGGAUUUGUGGUCCGUACGUGAACUUGAUUUGCAAUUUGGGUUCGCACAUGAACUUAAUUUGCAGUUUGAGUUCGUGUAUAAACUUGAUUUGCAAUUUGAUUUGGGGUCCAAAGAAAUCCCCUUUUGGUUUUGCAAUUAGAUUUGGGGUCCGAAGAAAUCACCUAUUGAUUUUGCAAUUGAAUUUGGGGUCCAAAGAAAUCCCCUUUUGAUUUUGCAAUUGAAUUUGGGGUCCGAAGAAAUCCCCGUUUGAUUUGAAUUUGAAUUUGAUCUUCAAAUUUGAUUUGGUUUGGGGUCCGAAGAAAUCCUCGUUUGGUUCUGAUUUGGGGUCCGAAGAAAUCCCCGUUUUGAUUCCAAUUCGGGGUCCGAAGAAAUCCCCGUUUUAAUUUUGAUUUGGGGUCCGAAGAAACGAGGAAUCAAAGAUUCCCCUCCCCUCUUCUUGCGAUGCUGCGGAUGACGUCGACGAAGUUGAUGACGGUGGCGUGGAUCUGUUCGGCCAUCGGAUUUGAUUUGACAUUUUCGAAUAAGUAUUGAAGGGUCCGAAGAAACGGGGAAUCAAAGAUUCCCCUCCCCUCUUCUUUCGAAAAUAUCAAACCGGCGAUGCUGUAGAUGUCGUUGGGGAUGGUGGCGUGGAUCUGUUCGGUCGGCAAAUUUGAUUCAAUAUUUUCAAAAUGUUUUGAAGGGUCCGAAGAAACGGGGAAUCAAAGAUUCCCCUCCCCUCUUCUUUUCGAAAAGAUCAAAACGGCGAUUGUAGAUGUCGUCGACGGAGUUGUUAACAGUGGCAUGGAUCUGUUCGGCCAGCAAAUUUGAUUCGAUAUUUAUCGAAGAAAUGUUGAAGGGUCCGAAGAAACAGGGAAUCAAAGAUUCCCCUCCCCUCUUCUUUCGAAAGUAUCAAACCAAACAUGCUGGAGAUGGUCGCGGCAAUGUAGAUCAUCCAUUCCAUCAUCAACGACUUCGAAUGGGGUAUUGAGAGGUCCGAAGAAACGGGGAAUCAAAGAUUCCCCUCCACUCUCCCACCGAAGCCAUCUAGAUGAUAUGGAUGGCUACGAUCGUCGGACAAAAGAAAAAAAAAAAAGAGGGGGAAGAAAAGAGAUCUUUUUUUUGUUUUAUUAUUAUUUUUACUUUCUUUCUUUUUUCUUUCUUUUUUACUACCUGCUGAUGGAUUCGAUGAAGCGGCUCAACGAUCUCUCUCUCUUUCUGCGGCUCGGCGAUUUCUCCUUCUUUCCGCGGCUUGAGUGAUAUCUCCUCCUUUCCUCGGCUCGGCAAUGUAUCCUCCUUUCAGCAGCUCGGCAAUAUCUCCUCCUUUGAAUAUUUUGAACUUGGAAGUGUGUAGCAAUCUAUCUAUCGUGUCGUCUCUCUCCAAAAAAAAAUUCCCUGAAUUUGAUUUCGGUUCCCGUAUUUAUAAUGGGAGGGGAGGAGUUAGUUAAGAAUUCAAAAUUCGAAAUUCGAAUUUUGAAUUAUUUGUUGGAUGGUUGGAGGAUAUUUGGGGAGUGGUUGGGAGUUCAAAAUUCGAAUUCGAAAUCGAAUGAGUUGUUGGAUAGUUGGAAGAUAUUUUGGGAGUUGGUUAGGGAAUUCAAAAUUCGAAAUCGAAUUUUGAAUGGGUUGUUGGAUGAUAUUUUGGGAAUUCAAAAUUCGAAAUUCGAAUUUUGAAUGGAUUAUUGGAGGAUACUUUGGUAAUUUGUUGGGGGUUCAAAAUUCAAAAUUCGAAUUUUGAAUAGAUUAUUAGAUGGUAUUUUGGGAAUUCAAAAUUCGAAAUUCGAAUUUUGAAUGGAUUAUAAUUUGAAAUCGGAUUUCGACUAGAUACUUUAUAAGGUGUGGGUGUGGGCCGUCGUUGAUCAGACCCACCUUAAUUUAUUGGGCUCAAAUUAUAACGGGCUGAAAUAAAGGCCCCCCCUCACCAUUUUUUUAUUUUUUAUUUAUUUGUUUGGGCUUUCGUAAGGGCCCGCCCACUUAUAUAUAUUUUUUUAUUUAUUUGUUUGGGCUUUCGUAAGGGCCCACCAAAUCACAUUUUUAAAUGUGCUUAUUGUAUAUUAUAAUUAUUGGCCCCAAAUUUUCUGGUUAACAUGAGACCUAUCAAAAUUGUUUCAGUCUGAAUCUAAUCAGUUUCGAUUAUGAUUAGAAUUUUUUUUUUUUGUCACUUCAAACAAAUUGCCCCCCACCUUUUCGACGUAAGUGUUUCGCGCGCGACGAAAAGGUGCCUAUCUUUUCUUUUUUUUUUCGUUCGGACACCUUUGAUCAUCCUUUUUUUUUCUUUUUUUUUUCUCGGUCCCCCACAUAGACCGUACCGCUUUUUUUUUUUUUUGAAUAUCAUCUCCGCGCCAUAUGCAUUUAAUUUGAUUGUUCGAUUGCUCAGUUUAAUAACAUAACGGUUAAUAUAAAAAUGCUUAGUUUAAUGACAUGGCGGUCGAUUGGAUGGCGGUCUAUAUAAGAGUGCUCAGUUUAGUGAGAUGGCGGUCUAUUGGAUAUGGAUUGCUCAAUUUAACGACGUGGCAGUCAAUUGGAUAUUUGUUGCUCAGUUUAAAGACAUGGCCGUCUAUAUAAAAGUGCUCAGUUUAGUGACAUGGCGGUCUAUUAGAUAUGGAUUGCUCAGUUUAACGACGUGGCGGUCAAUUGAAUAUUUGUUGCUCAGUUUAAAGACAUGGCGGUCUAUAUAAGAGUGCUCAGUUUAGUGACAUGGCGGUCUAUUUGAGGUUUGGUGCUCAGUUUAAUGACAUGGCGGUCGGUUUGANNNNNNNNNNNNNNNNNNNNNNNNNNNNNNNNNNNNNNNNNNNNNNNNNNNNNNNNNNNNNNNNNNNNNNNNNNNNNNNNNNNNNNNNNNNNNNNNNNNNNNNNNNNNNNNNNNNNNNNNNNNNNNNNNNNNNNNNNNNNNNNNNNNNNNNNNNNNNNNNNNNNNNNNNNNNNNNNNNNNNNNNNNNNNNNNNNNNNNNNNNNNNNNNNNNNNNNNNNNNNNNNNNNNNNNNNNNNNNNNNNNNNNNNNNNNNNNNNNNNNNNNNNNNNNNNNNNNNNNNNNNNNNNNNNNNNNNNNNNNNNNNNNNNNNNNNNNNNNNNNNNNNNNNNNNNNNNNNNNNNNNNNNNNNNNNNNNNNNNNNNNNNNNNNNNNNNNNNNNNNNNNNNNNNNNNNNNNNNNNNNNNNNNNNNNNNNNNNNNNNNNNNNNNNNNNNNNNNNNNNNNNNNNNNNNNNNNNNNNNNNNNNNNNNNNNNNNNNNNNNNNNNNNNNNNNNNNNNNNNNNNNNNNNNNNNNNNNNNNNNNNNNNNNNNNNNNNNNNNNNNNNNNNNNNNNNNNNNNNNNNNNNNNNNNNNNNNNNNNNNNNNNNNNNNNNNNNNNNNNNNNNNNNNNNNNNNNNNNNNNNNNNNNNNNNNNNNNNNNNNNNNNNNNNNNNNNNNNNNNNNNNNNNNNNNNNNNNNNNNNNNNNNNNNNNNNNNNNNNNNNNNNNNNNNNNNNNNNNNNNNNNNNNNNNNNNNNNNNNNNNNNNNNNNNNNNNNNNNNNNNNNNNNNNNNNNNNNNNNNNNNNNNNNNNNNNNNNNNNNNNNNNNNNNNNNNNNNNNNNNNNNNNNNNNNNNNNNNNNNNNNNNNNNNNNNNNNNNNNNNNNNNNNNNNNNNNNNNNNNNNNNNNNNNNNNNNNNNNNNNNNNNNNNNNNNNNNNNNNNNNNNNNNNNNNNNNNNNNNNNNNNNNNNNNNNNNNNNNNNNNNNNNNNNNNNNNNNNNNNNNNNNNNNNNNNNNNNNNNNNNNNNNNNNNNNNNNNNNNNNNNNNNNNNNNNNNNNNNNNNNNNNNNNNNNNNNNNNNNNNNNNNNNNNNNNNNNNNNNNNNNNNNNNNNNNNNNNNNNNNNNNNNNNNNNNNNNNNNNNNNNNNNNNNNNNNNNNNNNNNNNNNNNNNNNNNNNNNNNNNNNNNNNNNNNNNNNNNNNNNNNNNNNNNNNNNNNNNNNNNNNNNNNNNNNNNNNNNNNNNNNNNNNNNNNNNNNNNNNNNNNNNNNNNNNNNNNNNNNNNNNNNNNNNNNNNNNNNNNNNNNNNNNNNNNGUACGUGGAAAGCUCAGUCCACGUUUUGUAGGCCCUUUCGAGGUAUUGGAGUAGUCGGGCCAGUUGCUUACAGGAUUGCUCUACCACCACGGCUUGCCGGCAUUCAUGAUGUUUUUCACGUCUCGGCUUUGAGGAAAUAUGUGUUCGACCCCUCCCACGUGAUUGACUUCACUCCGCUUGAGAUUGGCGAGGACCUGAGUUACGAGGAGCGACCGGUGCGGAUUCUGGCUCGUGAGUCGAGGGAAUUGCGCAACCGGGUCAUACCCUUUGUAAAGGUGCAGUGGAGUAAUCAUGAGGAGCGGGAGGCGACUUGGGAGCCGGAGACGGUGAUGAGGGAGUCCUACCCCUACUUAUUUGAGGCUCUGGAUUGAGGUAUGUGUUCAGUUUCGCGGACGAAACUUUUUGUAGUGGGGGAGGAUGUAGUGUUCUUGACCUUUGGAUAGGAUUGGCUUCAGUAUUAGUGACUGGUCGACAUCUCUGGAGAGUGUCAGACUGAGUCGGAGUCAAUUCUGCACGAAUUGGAUGCAGAAUUGGGCUCGGCGCACUCAAAUAGGCAAAACUGGAGUUUUGCCAGAUUCGGGCGCCCAGAACAUUUUAGGGUUGCCCAGAACUGAGUGUUGAAUUUAACUGAAAUUGGAAGCCAAUUCGGAUCCCAUGUUCCGGGCGCCCAGAUGUGGGUCCGGAAAUUCGACAUCGUGAAUAUCGCUUGCUUCGACGCGUGGCAGGGCGGUAGGCGAGUUCCGUCGGAGCCAUUUACGGGCGCAGCACACCGCAAGCGGAGAGUCCGAGGAGCUCGGUUUGUGCAGUCGGGAUGUUCUGGUCGCCCAGAACAUGGUUCCGGGCGCCCAGAAACGCCCGUUUCUGCAGGGACACUGGAUAGCAGAUUGAGUUCCUGAGGCUUUUUGGAUCACUCUAACUCACUAUAAAUAGAUGGAAUGCGCUCCUUUGCUGUUCUUUUCCUCCCUUCUUCACAGAGAAGUCCCUUUUAGCAUCUCUACCCUCGGAUUUGCCUUAAUUUGCAUCAAACUUCCAUUGAUCCAGCUUGAUGGAGUGCUGAUUCUGCAGUUCUUCAGCGACGACCUCCAGUGUUUUGGCUCGUGCACGACGUAGGAAGGUCGGAUUUUGACGAAACUUAAUUUGCUGGAUUCUACACUUCUAGAGGAAUCUACGAAGCCCUGAAUUGUAGAUUUUGGUUGAGGUUAGCUUGGUCGAACUGAGACUUUUCUAGACUGCUGUUGACUUUGAGCUGAAAAUGGGAUUUUUGAGCUUUUCUUGAUGCUAUCUUUGUUGGCAGUGGGAUUUUGGACCUGAGAUUGAUCACCCAUCAGUAGUUGCUAGAUUUGGAUCUGUCCUCACCCGAUUUGGAGAUCAUUAGGUGAGUUUUGACAUUGGAAUUGAGAUAAUUAAGCUUAAGUGCUGAAAUUUUUGGUAAAUUGAUGGUUUUUAUUGAAUUUUUGGGUGAAUUGUAAAUCCAGAUCUUGAGGGCCUUUGUUGCUGGUUUGGAGGUGUUUCCUGCAGUGUUGCUUGUGAUCCGAGACCAUCUUGCUGCUAGGAAUUGCACUAGAGAUGGGUGUAUCAUCGGUUUCGCUCCUAAGUGCAUGUUUAGUCGACGUGUAUAGUUCGAUUUUUAUAUAUCAUGCUCUAAUUCAUCGUUUAGCAUCUUGAAUGUAAUAUGAAUAUAGAAGCAUGCUGAAAUGAAUAUUUAUAUUAUACAUGUUGGACUUGAAAUUCGACUUAGGAGAAAACCUGCGUUUUGACCCGUCAUAUGCUUAAACUACCAGAUUUAGCUCUAGGAGCCGAGAUUCGAUUGUAUCGUUGCAGUAUCAGUGCGAUGGAUACCUGGGGUAGUUUAGAAGGCAUUUACGCUCGUGCUGGGAUGCCGAGCUUAUUUUUUAGCAGAGUUUAGACUGUUUCGGGUCGUUGGGUGCCGUUCGGGUUAGCGGUGGACCCAGAUUCUUGUUUUGGUCACAGAUUGUGCCGAGAGCACGUAGGUUUGGUUUGUAGAUCUGUUUUGAUCCUGUUCACUUGACUUUGGCUAGUUGGAGCCUGAUUGAGCUCGACAGAGAUACGCUGCAUACUCGGUUGGGUAGCGCCCACGAGUGCCAAUCCGGAGUCAGGCUUUGUGCUUUCGCGUUGGUGUCGCUCAUGCCAGUUGGACUUACUCUCCACGGACCAGUUAGUGUGGAUAGAGCCCGAUAGUCGCAACGGGGCAGGGACAGGUGUAUUCACAGUCCCGGGGACGGGUAUGCUUACAGUCCCAAUUUGAUUCGGUCAGAUUGGACAUUUUCUACAGUUGGUUAGUGUAGAGCAUGAUAGAGUAGUGUUUGAUAGCGGUAGACUUUAUUUCUGCAUUUACUACUAUUUUUGCUCCCUUCUAUAGAUUUAGUGGGUGGACCGAUGUUGUUUUGGGCGGUACCUACUGAGGACUACUUAUUUUUACAGUAGUUCUCACGCCCUGUUGUUACAUCAUCUUUUUGCAGAGCCAUCGUCUUCGGCUGCUGCUAUUGCUGAUCAGGAUCGAGGCAAGGGCGUCGCGAGUUAGAGCCCUACCCGACGAGCCGAGCUAGAGGUGCCCUUCUGCAGGUAGUUGUUUUGUUGGAGUUCAUGUACUUACCUAUCUUUAACUCGCCAGUGCGGGUAGUUUGUAUUUUGGAUUCUGGUAUAUGUAUAUGGAACUCGGUUUGGUUUUCUUCUGUUUCUCCUAACAGCUUUAUACUACUGUUUGUAGUAUUGUAUGAUUUACAGGUACAGUUAUCGCUUUGUAUACAGGAAAAAUUUCUUUGUAUACGGCGGAUCUGUCGGCGCGCCCGGGGAACGAGGAAUCCUGGGCGUGACAAUUUAUUGAUUGAUCCAUCCGUCUUGCGCUUAAUUUUUAAAACCCAUUUAUUUCCAAUAGACUUGCGCCCAGGCGGAAGAUCAACCAAUUCCCAUAUUUGGUUCUUGCUCAUGGAGUCCAUCUCAUCUUUCACAGCAGCCAUCCACGCACUGCAAGCUGACGUCUGUAAUGCUUCUUUAUAAGAAGCAGGUUCAUCAUCAUCGAGCGGAGUGCACAUUAAAAUAUCCUCUUCGAUCUCAAAAUGUCGACGGAGAAUAUGUCCACGUUCACUUCUACGUAAUGGAGGGUCUGAACUGUCGACUUCUAAGGGUAUGCUCUCAUUCAAGGAAGCACUCCCACUAGCCGAAGGAUUGCUACCACUUCCUUCAGCGACUUCGGAAGUAAUCGAUCACCCUCAAUAUCAGAUGGGGUAGCGUCGUCGUGUAACUAAUACAAUCCAACGUCUCUUCGCAUUUCACAAAUGCUUGAAAAAUUUCCUUCUAGGAAUUCCACAUCAAGAGAUUCAAUCUCGGUCAUACUACCAUCUGGGUGUUUACGAUACAUCACAUAGCCCUUCGAAUUUUCAGGGUAUCUGAUGAACACAUGCUUGCUCACUCUAGGGCCGAGUUUUUCGAAUCUAUGUGUGAGACUGUGAACAUAUCUAUCCGAACCCCAGGGGCGUAAGUAGUGUAAACUAGGCUUUCUACUGCUCCACAACUCAUAUGGGAUAGUAGGCACUGAUUUGCUAGGGACUCGAUUAAGGAUGUAGGCUGCAGUCAAAAGAGCAUCUCCCAAAAAAUUUAUGGAAAGUUGCACUUGCGCCAUCAUUGCGGUUCCUUCGCUCUGCAACACCUUUUUGUUGAGGAGUACCAGGAAUAGUGAGCUGUCUACUAAUGCCCUUUUGCUCACAAUAAGUCUUGAACUGAUCAGACAAGUACUCACGACCUUGGUCAGUGCGAAGCACCUUUACACUUCUUUCUAUUUGAUUCUCAACCUCUGCAACGAAGCGCUUGAAGCAAUCUAAAGCUUCAGAUCGGCGAGAAAGCAAAUACACAUAUCCAUAACGAGAAUAAUCAUCAAUGAAUGUGAGAAAAUAGCAAUCACCAUGCCGGGCCCUCACAUUCAUUGGUCCACAAAUGUCUGAGUGGAUUAGCUCUAAAGGAUGAGAGGCACGAGUAGCCUUACAGCCAGACAAGGCCCACACAUAGAUAGGUCAACUUUGGCGAGAGACCCUAAAAGGCCUUCUCGAGCCAGUCUAUUCAUUCUUUCUUGACCUAUAUGGCCUAAUCUGGCAUGCCAUUUAACGGAUUCAUUACAGAGAAUAGAUAAAGAAAAAGAAGAAGCAAAUGCAAACGAAUCAUCCUCCAAAUAUAAUUUAAAGAAACCAUCAAUUAAUGUACCAUAUCCAAAUAAAGUACCAUGAAAGAAAAUAUCAAGGCGGUCACUGUCAAAAUGAAAUGAAUAUCCUAGAUGCAACAAAGCUAAAAUUGAACAUAGAUUACAACGAAUUUCGGGUGCAUAUAGCACGUCCUGAAGAAGUAAAGUGCGGCCACCACGAAACUUGAGUUGGUACGAACCGACUCCAAGGACUUUUUCCUUCGUGCCGUUCCCAAGGGUGACAAACUGUGUUCGAGACGGUACUCGAUGGUAAUCUACGAACCCGACUCGGUCACAAACUACGUGUUUGUUUGCUCCUGUAUCCACAAUCCAAUCAGGAAGAGAAUGAGCUACUAAAGCAUGAAAGCAAACAAAACAGUGUGAGUUGAGUGGUAGGGUUACCAUUUUCAGCUCAGGAUAAUUUCGAGCGAAAUGACUCUUCUGCUUGCAAUUGUAACAUUUUAGCUUUGUAGCAUCCUUACUACCAGCGCGUUUGCCUCUUCGGCGCUUUCCAACUCCACCCUAAGGAGCUUGAUUCCAUUUCUUCUGCGCUCCAUUGUUGUGAUGCUUUUUGUGCUUGGGUGUAAUCCCAUUGCGCUUCUCGGAGCAUGCAACAAAAGCAACAGAACGGUUUACUUCCAAGCGCUCUGCUUGAGAUGAUGCGAGAUAUCAUUAAACAUUUUAAUGUUCUCGUUGUGCGUCAUCAGGAGCUUCAUCUGGGACCAUUCAGUAUCAGGCAGUGAACGAAUCACUGCUAGAACUUGUUGCUCAUCAGUGAGCUCAUUUCCAGCAGUCUUAAGGUUCCGAAUCAUGGCACUGAUCACACGAAGGUGCUCAGCCAUUGAAUGCUUCGGGUCUUUAAUGUACUGUAGAAACUUGAGAUUUAAAGCACGUAGCCUUGUGGAUGAAGUUUGGCCAAAAGUGAUUUCAAAUUGUCCCACAUGUCCUUGGCAGUUUCAAAGAUCUCAAACUGUCCAAUGAGGUCGUCUUGCAUGGCACACAACAUAGUGUACCGAGCAGUUCGAUCCUCCUUGAUCCAUUUGUUAUAGAUCUCUUUUUUAUGCUCAGAAGCUGUGCCUUCGGCAGGCAUGACUCUUUCGACAGAAAGAGUUUCAAGAACCCCUUGUUCAUUAAGCAGAUAUUGCAUUUUCCUAUGCCAGAUAUCAUAAUUCUUUCCAUCUAGCUUAUCAUCUCUAGUGAAAUCAGCUAUGAUGUUUUUGAAAGUCAUUUCACUACAUUCAAAAAAUAGGUUUAGACAUUAGGCACAUAUUUCCAAAAAAAAAUUAACAAGAUUGGAACAUUAUCCUCGACACAACGGGAUCGAAAACUUCGCUAUACUCGUAAUCAUCACCCAGUGUCGGUUCAAAUACUACAAUCUUAUUAAUUUUCUAUUAAUUUUGAAACUUAUCCAAAAGUCAGAACUCAUCCAUUUUGAAGAACACAUCAUUUUCUUGAAAAAUAUUUAUAUAAGGAGAACUUAUCUCAUAAUAUCAUCACAUAAAUAAAAAAUAAGUACUUAUGCCAAAAUUAAUUUGAAAACGUCGACGCUGUGUAAAACACAUUCCUUUACAUGGCCUUAAUUAUUACAUCACAUUUUACAUAAUUAAAACCUACUACAUCACUAUAAGAUGUUCAUCAGAAAAAAAAAAAAAAAAAAGAAAAAAAAAAAGAGAAAGUUCUACAGGAAUACUGCACAUGUCGAACCCAUUUUUUCAAAAUUAAAUUUUGUUGAAAGAACACCGAAAUAACAUAAGUACUUAUAUGCCAAAAAAAAUUAUACAAUCACAUACUACAUAAGCAUUUAAAAAACACCAACAUAGGAUAAACAACACAUGCAGGUUCUAAAAUUGGCAUAAAAAAUUAUAUAUGUAUCCAAAAAAAAAUUUACUACGCAGGAAACAAAAAUAACCACAGAGUAAUAUGUACAUAUAUAUCAUUAACAAUCCUAAACUGCACGGGUGGCCGGGCCGAGCUUGCUAGCCCACCAGCGCGCUGCAGGGUCGUGCCCGCGCGGGUGUACGCCCGCGCCCGCGCGGUGCGCGCGGGUGCGCCCCACUCCCGCAGCAGGCCGGGCCCGCGCGGUUCACACGGGUGCGCACCCGCGCCCACAGCGGGCCGGGCCCUAGCGGUGCGCGAGGGUGCUCGCCCAUGCCCGCAGCGGGCCGGGCCCGAGCGGUGCACGCGGGUGCCUGCCCGCGCCCACAGCGGGCCGGGCCCGCGCGAGUUUGCCCCGCUCCCGCAGCAGGUUGCGCUAGUGUGGUGCGUGCGGGUGCGCGCCCGCGCCAACAGCAGGCCGGGCCAGCGAGGUGCGCGCGGGUGCGCGCCCAUGCCCACAGUAGGCCGAGCCUGCGCGGUUCGCUCGGGUGCGUGCUGGCACUCGCCCGCAGCAGGUCGCGUCGUGCUCGCCGCUCGAGCAAUUUUAUUUUAUUUUUAUUCCAAUGCACGAAGCAGAGAAUAAAGAAAAAAAAAAUACUAACUUAUGUAAAAAAAUUCGCAUAUUUUAUGAUCAAUUUGAGAGAAAACUAAAACUAAUUUAGUUUUUCUCUUCCUUCUUUUUAAUCGAUUUUACAUAGAAGACGAAAAAAUUGUAGAACUAAUCUACUUAAAAAAAAUUGAUCAACAAAUGCGAUCUAAGAAACAUCACAGGCAUGAUCACAAGGCGAAAACAAACACACAAGCUCUGAUACCAAUUGUUGGAAUUAAUAGGGGAGCGAAAACUUACAAACUGGAUAGCCAUCGUAUCUGGGAACCCGAAUCGAAUCGGAUUGUUUGUUUUACAAGCCUUCCGUCCUUAUCUCGAUGCUUCUGGAUCUCCCACGUUUCUCGCCUUCUCCCACGCCUACGCCUCACGUCACGGAUCGAGUGCGUCGUAUGCAGAUAGGAUGCAACGGAUGUCAAUCGAAGAGGGCUACCAGAGUCCUCUUCUAUGUCCAUACUCCAAAACCCCGGGAACGUAGUUGGAAAUUCCAGAGAGGAAGAAAGGAGAAAAUAAGGAAGAUAUUUCGUGGAUUAUUGAAUUAGAUCGUAUUCGAUCGUCUCUCUUUCAGGAGAGAAAAGGGGGCGUAUAUAUAGAAUAACGGAACCCCUAAAUAUCCUGAAUCUCAUAUAGAUUAGGAUAAGGAUCAGGAUAUCUAUUAAUACACAAUAAAUAUUCACUAGUAAAUACAUUUCUUAACUUAUAAAAAAUAUAUGAUUCAUUUUUAUCCUAAACUUAUUAGGAUAAAUCAUGAUCCACGUCUUAUGUGGAUCGGGUUAAAUCAUAACCCGCUAAUGUGGAUACACCAUAUGGCAACAUAAUGCAAUCUCUCUACAAUCCGGAAUAACAAUUAACUUCACGUUGUUAACAUCGAUAUACUUGUUGCAUACAUGCAUGACUUUUAAACCUCUUCCGCAUAAUACAAUGAAAGACUAUUAGAGUGUCAUACAAUAAACUCUUUUGUGUUUUGAUUCAGGUGCUUUCAUGAGGUUCAGUUACACACAUGAUUUGAGAUUAUCAGAUGAUGUGAGAGAUUUUAGAAUUAUCUUCCGUAAUUCAGGAAAUGGCUUUACCAUAGAUGAAAUGAACUUUUUGAUCUCUUAAAUCUGUUGUUUUACUUGUGAUUUCUUCUUGUUUAGUGAUCUCAAUAGAAUCCAAUCUAUGAGUUUUGUAUGGUAUUGUGUUCUAAAUACUGUUAAGAAGUUCUUAUUAUUUAUUUAUAUAUUUUGAACAAAUCCGUAGGUCCAUCCAAAAAUCUCAUUCAGAAACCUCCAAUCACUAGUGAUAAAUUUUAUAUUUAUUUUUUCUCUUCAAAAAUAUUUGGUUAAAUUCGCCCCGGUAAUAACCCACAUGUGAGAGAUUAAAUGUGAUGCCCCUACUUCUCAUAGGAACACCCAUCCUACCACUCAAAAUACUUAAAACGGGUUAAGAGUUCAGCCCUAUUAUAUUUUAUAUAUAGGACUAGACUCGUCUCGCUAGUUUUAUCAUUCCGAUUUUGGCUCAGCCGAGACUCAUCUUACACUUUCGACUGGUAAUUGGCUCUGAUACCAACUGUGACGUCUUAACUUUCCAGAGGGUCACCCAUCUUAGAACUACCGUCCUAACACGCUUAGCUCUCUUAAUUUUUUAAACCUAGCCACCAUCCAAAAUAUUUAAACCGGAUUAACAGUUUAGUCCUAUUACAUCUCAUAUAUAAAACUAUUCCGAAUCUCACAUUAAACCCUCAACUUUUUGAUCCACGACCGAAAUAUCAACUAGCUAAUCUAGACAGCGGUGAUAUUUUAUUUUUCUAAUCAAAUUCUAUUGGCCAGAAUUAAUAGAUUAAAUUUGCCUCGUUGAGAGCCCGUCCUCUUACUUAAUAAUGACUCUUAUAAAGAGUAGCUUAUUUAGGGCACUUACUAUAAUAGCUCAUUUCAGGUGAAAAGUACUUGGUAGGGACGCAAAUUGAUUUGGGAAGUUGGAGCUUCCGUCUUGAUUCAUCUUGCAUGCGACGGUAAGUGGGAAUUGAAAAUAUAAAAACACAUACCUACUUCAAAUCCGUUCUGAUCCGUUAAGUAAAUACAGUAGGAGGCGAAAAACCGCUUUCUUUUUUGAAUCUGUUUCGAUCCACCAAAACUUCGCCAACAAUUUACUCCCGUCCCGAUUGACCCCAAUUGGAGCCGUAAGUGAGAGCCAAAAAUAAAAUUAAAAUUAAUUCGUCCCGAAUCCACCCCGAUCGGACAAAAAGUGGAGCGGGAAAAGAAAGAUCGCUAAUGCUUGGGUUUCAUAAUCCGUCACCAAUCUUCUAAAUCUUGCUCGAGAGUCUAUUUGGCAAUGAAUUUGCUUCUUACAAGAUUCAUUUUGAAGAAAACUUUGUGAUUCUACUUCGUACAAUAUUUUUUUCACUUCUUUCAUAUAUAGUGAGAACCAAAUUGUGCGUCACUUGAUGUUUGAACAUAAUAUAUUAAAAUAUUAUUCUCUACUAAUUUAUACUUUUUGAGACAAAUAAUUAUUUUACAUAUUACCAAAGCAAACUUUCUAAUUUUCUUUCAUUUAAAAUAAGUUCACAAAAUGUUUCUCGCCUAGGUUUGAGGAAUGUUAAAUCACAGCACUCCACUAGUUUAAAAUUAGGAAAAAUUUACUAUAUGCCCUUCCAAAAGCAUAUAAUUGCAUAUAUUCCCCUUUAAAAUUUGAAAUAUCAUAAAUGAUCCUCUAUGUGUAUGAAACCUUCAAAAAUCCAGCUAUUUUAUUAAUUAAAAUUUAUGUAAAUAUCAAUCGAAUUCCUAUUUUGCCCUCUUUGAAAACAAUUCAGUACUCACAUAUCAAAUAUAGUUUCGAAAAUACCCUUUAAAUUCAAGAAAACUUUAUAAAUUUUAAAAAAAAAUGUUUUUGUAAACCGAGCUAAAACAAACUUUCAAAUCUAAACUAAUUGUAAAAAAAUUAAACUCAAAAUUUUAAAAAUAUGAGAAAAGUAAAAAAAAAAUGGUUAACCAGCUUACAACUUUGAAACUAAUCCAAAUAAAUUAUUAUGUUACGGAGUGAACUAUCUAAACUAAUAUAAUGUGUGAACUAACUCAUUUAGCACAUAUUACGAAAGAAGUUAUUGGUUAAAAAUUUUAAAAUAAAAUAUCCAUAUAAUAUAUAAAGUAAUUUUUAAUAUCUUUAUUUAAUGUAGUAAGUAAAUAAUAAAAGUUAUGGGGAUUAAAUUACAAGAACAAGAAUUAACAGCUGAAGGGGUCUUCAUAUAUUUUUAGUGGCAAUAUGUUUGUAAGAAAUUAUAUAUUUCAAAGACUAAUCUGGAAGUAGUCUUAUUUGUAAAGAUGUUUAUAGUAUUUUUUAAUUUUAGAAGGUUAUAAGUGAAAUUGAUUCUUAUAUCUUUACCUACUUUAUUCUAAUAAAGAAUACUCAAAAGUAGGGAUAAAAUGGCAACAUUAUAUUUUAAAAUGUAUAGAAAUUGAUAUUAAAUAGAGAAGGACCUAUUUAUGAACCGUAUUUGACAUUUGGGUUAUUCAUGAAAUUUCAAAAAUUAAAAGGGCAUCUAUGAAAUUUCAGAAUUUUAGGAGGGCAUCAGUGAAAUUGUGUUAAAAUGUUGUGGACAAAUAAUUGCUUUUUCCUUGGCAUUAAUUCUAACAUUAGUAUUUCCUAACUAGGGAUGGAACUGGCCCUGGGCCUAAAGAAGGCCGGUCCCGAUGGGUCAUAUAUGGGCCGGGGUUUGGAUAUCAAAUUUAUAUAUGAGAAUAUAUUAUAAAUAGUAUUAUUAUAUACAAGCAAGUAAAUAUAUAUAAGUACGUAUUAUUAUAUAUAAUUAUAUAUUUAAUAUCUCCACUCACAGACAUGAUGAAUUUGAAGGGCAUUUAUGUGACCAAAAAAACUAUAUGAUAGAAAAUAGAUUUAGAAAUACAUUUUAACAAUAAGUAGAAAUAUCGAACAUGCAAAAUUAUAAUAUGGUUUGGUUUCCAACGAGAUAAUAAUAAUAAUAAUAAUAAUAAUAAUAACUUCAUUAGAUAUGCAGAUGGUGUGGUCUCAACUGAGUGCAUCUAAUUGAGGCUCGUAUUUAGGCCUUGUACAUUAUGGUUUAAUUUUUGUGAGCCCCAAAUUGGCCUAAUUAGGGUUUCCUUGAGUUGAGAACUUAUUGUUUACUUGCUCAUUGCAUCACUCUAGAUUAUUUUUACAAUUCCGUGCAUAAGAAAAUUUUUCUCUAUAUUUAGAUGUACAUAAAAAAUCUAGGAUUAAUUUCAUUCAGCUCCCCCGUAAACAUAUCAAUAUAUCGCAGAUAUAUAUCUGAAAAGUUUAACUUUUCAUAUUUAUCCUUGCAAAAAUCCGGUGAUAUUCUUAUUUGCUUAUCUGAUUUAUUACCGUUAGUGUACUGUUUAUUUUUUAAUAAAAAAUAAGUAAAAUGAUAUUUUUGUCAUCACAAAUACAUCCCUUCAAAUGUUUUAACUGUUAGAAUUAUGCAAAAAUAUUUUUUCAAAAAUUGUCAAAUGACAUCUUCUUCCCUUUUACCAUCACAAAUAAUAUAAGAGGGUAAAAAGAUCAAUUUACUUCAUUCACUAGUUAAGGUUAAGCAUUUUAUCUAUGGUUAACUAUAUUUUUCUAGCAGAUCCUAACAGCGCGGGUAUAUUUAAAAAUAUUAGAACUUUUAUAAGAAUAAAUAGAAAAAGUUAUACUUUAUAGAGAUAUAUUUACUAUCCGAUAUAUUUACAGGGAACUGUAUGCAAAUUUGGGAGACAAUCAAGCUGGGCCUCCUAAUUUGGACGGUCCAAAUUGAUCCAACCGCACGAUGCGGAGCGGAUUUGUCCAUCCGUUUCUGGGAUGCCUGACCCGGCCCGUAAAAAUUCGGUCCUAGUUCUAAAGAUUUGCUUAGACCUAACCUCUCAAUUUGUGUGGAAUAAAAAAUUUUCUUUUCAUCAUAAAAAGUGAUUAUUUUUUUUGUAUAUUUUGCUCUCUAAGAGAGAUGUUAUUUUUAAUUUUUUUUUAAAUUUUUAGAACUUUAGUUCUUUAUAACUAUAGGUAUUGAGGCAACAUAAAAGCGCGUAAAAUGCACACGACCAAUCAAAUUUUUAGAUAAUUUUCUUCGUACUAGAAUAAAAUUGAAAAAAAAAAAGUAUUACCACAUUUCUUUUCCACCCAGAAUUAUGCAUAAUUUAUUUCUGUGAAAGCACCGUAUAAUAUAAAAGAUGCACUAUUAUGUCUGAAAAUGAGACGUCGAAAUUAUAAAAUUUUAUAUUUAUUUUACUAAAAAAAUCAGGCGUGGUAGAAAUUAAAAAUUUUUGUGAAAUUUUAUGGUCCCUUAAAACACGCGAAUUCAAAUUCUACCUCUCUGGUUGGUAAUUUUUUUUUCCCAAAAAAGUUUGAUUCAAAAAGUCUAAAAUAUUCUUCUGCGAAUUUUGAAUUUAUCCCAAAAUUUUAAAUUGAGUACAAGAGACAAGUAAAGUUAUGAAUCUCUUAAAUAUAAAACUUUUAAAAAGAUUUUAUAUACUCAAAUUAUAGUAUCCCUAGUGUUUUGUAGCCCGUGUGAUUUCAGCAUCUGAGGCUUGUGACACGUCUAGAGAGUGUCGGAACAAGUCGGAGUUGUUUUGGCAUGAAAUAGACGCAAAACGGACUCAACACGACACGAGAGUGGAAUUCUGACACUGAAAUCUGCAAAUUGCAUGAUUUCAGUGUUGAGUAUCGGUACUUAAGAGGAGUACCGGUACCCUAGUAGAUUUCAGAAUUGAGUGCUCUCGGGUUUGAGCGUAUUCGAUGCUGAGUAUCGGUACCGACUUGUCGAGUACCGGUACCGAGCCCAAGUACCGGUACUGCAUCGGGCGAGUAUCAGUACCCAGUGCGCGAGACUACGGGCUGAGGGGCCGGGUACCAGUAUUGGAGUUGGAUACCGGUACCCCAGCUAAAUUUUUGAGUUGGUAAAGGAUAUUUUGGUCUUUCGAAGUGACGAUCAACCCAAUGUUUAUCCUCAGCCUUAUAUACAUAUAGAGAGCUCAGAGAGGAAGGUUUGUUUGCUGCUCUGUCUCUCGCUCUAGUUUUGGACGUGCUCAUGGUGGAGGUCGCGACUCGAGCCCGGGAGGUUGUCGACGUUGAUCUGGAGGACCGUUUGAGCACGUGGUCGUCGCGGUUGCGCCGUUGGAGGCUGUGCGAGCACGUGGAUUCCCUUCUUUCAACUUCUCGCCGUGGUUGGACGAGCUUUGCAAGGUGGGUUGAUGUUUACCGAAAUAGUCGGAUACUCGGAUUUCCUCCUACGUCGAGAUAUUGUCAGCAUGUAUGUUUUAUGUGUAAUAUCAUGUUAGCAGCUCAAUUCAUCGAUUUGCAUAGUUUUUGUGAAAUUUGAGUUGGAGCCUUAAAUUCUAGAAUUGUUUUACAUGUUGGACUUGAAAUUGACUUAAAAGAAAAUCAUUAAACCCUACACUAUCAUUUUCUUAAAAGUUACUAAAUUUAACUUUAUGAGUUGUGGUUCUUUUGUAUCACUGCUGUUAGUAUGCGGUGGAUACCCAGAUUAGAGUAGGUUGAGAUUACACUCGUGCUGGGAUGCCUAGUUAGUCUUACAGUAGUGUGUAGACUAUUUCGGGUUAUCGGGUGCCGUCGCGGUUGACGGUGAACCCAUAUUUAUGUAUUUUGCAUCAGAUUGUGCCAAGGGCAUGUGAGUUUGAUUGUUAGACCGUUGCAUUGACUACAGUCGUCAGAGCCUGGUUGAGCUCAGUAGAGACACGCUUACAUACUCGAUUGGGUAGCACCUACGAGUGUCGCUCCGGAGUGAGCCUUUACAUGCGUUGUCAUCAUCGUAGUCCUGUUUGGACAGUGUUCUUGGGCCGGCCACCUCUGUGGUGGUGUGCGGUAUAGCUUGGACAUAGGCUGGACAGGCUAGUUGGCAGUCCCUUGACCUUGGGUUAGUGUAGUCGUUGUUGCAGAGGGUGUAUUUUUUAUAUCUAUAGAUAGCUCAUUGUGAGUAGCGAUAGUAUAGUAGCAUUUAGCUGUAGAGUUCAUUCCAGCUUUUCUUACUAUCUCUUGCACGCAUUUCUGUAGACUUAUUGGGUGAGCUGUUGAGGUCGGUGACGGUGCCCACUGAGGACUAUUCUAUUUUGCAGUAGUUCUCACACCCUUUUGUUGACCCCUUUUUGCAAAACCUUCGUCCGCGGCUGCUGCUGUUGUGGAUUUAGACCGAGGCAAGAGAGUCGCAAGUUAGAACCAUCCCUUCUUUGGUUGCCAGCUAGAGGAGCACCUAUCCAGAGGUAGUUUUGUAUUUUGUUUGUACAUAUUGUGAUGUUGUCAUGGUACUCGCUAAAGCGAGUUGGGUUGUAGACAUUUUGUAUGUACAGGAACCCUUCGAGGUUUAUAUAUAUGUUUAUUUUUCAGUUUAGCAGCUUUUUACCUUUUAGUUGUAGCUUGGUUUUGUUUACAGGUACAACUAUCGCUUCGUAUAUAGAAGAAAUUUCUAUAUAUACGACGGGUCUGUUGGCGUGCCCGGAGAUCUGUGGUAACUCGGGACGUGACACAAAUAAUUAAGAAUUUUUAUAAGAUUAAUUUAGUGUAAAAUGACAUAUAAUAUUAGUUCUAAAAAAAGAGAAAAUAUUUUUAUGUGUUGAAUAAUUUAUGUGUUGAAUUUUUUAUAAGAUUAAUUUCGUGUAAAAUGACAUAUAAUAUUAAUUCUAAAAAAGAGUAAAAAUAUUUUUAUGUGAUAAUUUUAUUGAUAUAGUUGGAUAAUUUAUGUGUUGAAUUAAACGCAAAAAUAAUUUAUUUUCAUAAAUUCUAAGAUAAAAUACGAAAUAAAAUAUUUCUACAAGUCAGAAAUUCUAUUAUGAGAAUAGAUUUUUCAAAAACAUAUAUUUUAAGUAAAAUAUUUAAAUUUUGUGAAGAUUCUUACAUGUAAAAUUAUAAAAAACAACUGUUAUUAUCUAAAAACUAAAACUAUAAAAUAAAACAUUAUUUUUCAAAAGCAUAAGCUAUCCGUGAACAGUUAUAUUUUUAUAUUUCACAAUUUUUUGCAUGUCUAGAAUUGAGACAUUUCGAUGGGCUCAUGGCUUAAGCAAUCGGAGAACCCGUUAUUCUUCAAGGCUGUGGUUGGUUCGGGUAUAAGUAAGAACUGCUAGUUCCAGGGAUAGGUACAAGUUCAGGUAUAAGCAGGAACUAGACCAAUUUUGCGUUUGGAUGAAAAUGGGCUUGUUUCUAGGAAUAAGGUAAUAGUGUUUGGAUGGUUAGAUUGGAACAAGAGGAAUAAGAGUUAUAAUUUGAAAUUAAAAUUAUAUUAUGUAAUUAAUUAACAUCAAAAUAUUAUUUAAAAAUAAAUAAUAAAUUAAUUAUUAAUAAUUAAUUAUAAAUAAUAAUUAUUAUUAGUAAUUAAUUAUAAAUAAUAAUGUCACGCCCCGGAUUACACGUUCCACGGACACACCGACAAAUCCGCCGUAUACAAAGGAAUUUCCCCUGUAUACGAAGCGACAGCUGUACCUGUAAAACAUACAAUACUACAAACAGUAGUAUAGAGCUGCUAGAAGAACUAGUAAAGUAAAAGAAACCGAGUUCCAUAUACAUACACUGAAUCCCAGAGUACAAAGCUACUCGCGCUGGCGAGUUAAAAGUCUGUAUGUACAUGAACCCAAACCAAAACAUCUACCUGCAGUAGGGGUGCAUCUAGCUCUGCUCCUCGGGUAGGGCUCUAACUCGUGACGCCCUUGCCUAGCUCCUGACCAGCAACAGCAGCAGCCAAAGACGAAGGCUCUGCAAAAACGGGAUAACAACUGGACGUGAGAACUACUGUAGAAAUAAGUAGUCCUCAGUAGGUGCCGCCCUCAACAAUCAUCGGUCCACCCAUUAAGUCUACAGAAGGUAACAAGGCUAGCAGGAAAAGCUGGAAAGAAAUCUACAGCUACAUAUCGCUACACUAGCAUGAUCUACACUAACCAACUGUAGUAAAAGUCACAACUGACUCAAUCUCACUAGGGACUGUGAACACACCCGUCCCGCCUGUCGGAUCGAACCCGUAUCCUACUCCAGGAAUAGCUGGUGGAGAAAACUCUCUAGGGACUGUGAAUACACCCGUCCCGCCUAAUUAGGUGACACCGUAGCUCAAGAGUAACUGGCGGAGAAAACUCUCUGGAGACUGUGAAUACACCCGUCCCGUCUACUAGAAUACGUCGUAUUUCAAGAGUAAUCGGCGGAGAAAACUCUCUAAAGACUGUGAAUACACCUGUCUCACCUAAUUAGACUACACCAUACCUCGAGAGUAGUCGGUCCCAGAAAAAGGUCCAACAGGAUGGUUAAGACUCCACUCACGUCACAACCUCACUAAAGGUAGGGAAAAACGUCACUCACUAUCUCACCCGGGCUGCCCAAAACGGACCCACCCUACCUGUAUCUAGCUGCGCCGUACACCACCCCGAGGGUAGCCGGCUCAAGAACUGUCCAACAGAAACUGCGACACUUAUCGCACUGAAACCUCAUUCCCGAAUAGCAUUCACGAGCGCGACCCAACGAGUUUACAAGUAUCUCUGUCAAGUUCAUACCGCUCUCACAGGCUAAGUCAAGUAACCGACCUUAACUGGUCUAACAACGAACAGGUAAAGUGCCCUCGACACAAUCUAACGCUAAAAAGGCGAUACGAGUCCACCGUCAACUCCGACGGCACCCAACAGUCCGGAACAGCCUGAACUCUACUAUAAAAAUACACUCGGCAUCCCAGCACGAGCGUAACUAAAAAUUAAACUACCUGAAAUAUUCACUAUGAGGAUACUGCAACAGUAUAAAAUAAUACAACGGCCCCUAGGCUAAAUCAGGUAGUUUAACAUAUGCCAGGUCCCGAAAGCCGGUUUUCUCCUGUGUCAAAUCCAGGUCCAACAUGUAUAAUUUAUUUAUAAAAAUAGGCUCCAAUUUCAGUUUAGAUGAAAACAACAUUUACAAAUAUGAAACUGAGCUAAAACAAUAGUAAUGUGUAAUACUAACAAUACAUGUUGACCAACAAGACUAUACGAGUAGGAAUCCGAUGAUAAACCCACCUCGAAAGGUAAAUCCAAUCCGGCGCGACGUCGAGAACGGCGGAAACGCACCCUCGUCCAGCCUCCUCGUGAUGCUACGACUGCAACCGUAUCCUCGAACGGCUUUGCGGCGCGACGUCAAUGUCGAAUCCGAGCUCCUCGGCUACCUCUACCCGUGCUCUCCACCAUGCACGUAAUUAACUAGAGAGAACAAAAAAAAAUGCACACUCUCUGUUAAUUUGAAGAGAUAAACAUGAAAAGGGUGGUGGCAUCCUUAUCCAAAAAAAUGACCACUAUGCCCCUAGACCAACUCAAAAUGAAGGGUAUUACAUCCUCCCCCACUAUAAAAAGUUUCGUCCUCGAAACUUAAAACAUAUCUCAAACCUGAGUCUCGAACAAGUAGGGAUAGGACUCCCGCAUCACCAUCUUCGGCUCCCAGGUUGCCUUCCGUUCCUCAUGAUUGCUCCACUACACUUUCACAUACGGGAUGUCCCGGUUGCGCAAUUCUUUCGUCUCCCGAGCAAGAAUCCGCAACGGUCGCUCCUCGUAUCUCAGAUCCUCGCCAAUCUCUAGUGGAGUGAAAUCGAUCACGUGAGAAGGAUCGAAAAUAUAUCUCCUCAAUGCUGAGACGUUGAAGACAUCGUGAAUGCCAGCUAGUCACGGGGGUAGAGCGAUCCUGUAAGCAACUGGUCCAACUCGCUCCAAUACCUCAAAAGGGCCAACAAAGCGUGGACUGAGCUUUCCACGCACUCCAAAUCGGCAAAUCCCUCUGGACGGCGAGACUUUAAGAAAUACAUGAUCUCCAACCUGGAACUCUAAGUCUCGUCUCCUGGUAUCGGCGUAGCUCCUCUGGCGGCACUGGGCUGUCAAAAGGUGUCGUCGAACAACUCUCACCUUUUCCUCAGCCUCUAGCAAAAUCUCAGGCCCAAGUGUCUUCCUCUUACCCACAUCACUCUAAAACAACGGGGAUCGACAUCUGCGUCCAUACAACGCCUCAAACGGAGCUAUCUGGAUGCUCGUUUGAUAGCUGUUGUUGUACGCAAACUCAACCAGUCUCAAAUGUCGAUACCACCCUCCUCCAAAAUCCAGGACACAUGCCCUCAGCAUGUUCUCUAGAGUCUGAAUGGCCCUCUCUGACUGACCAUCUGUCUGUGGGUGGAACGCUGUGCUAAAAUGCAACUGAGUGCCCAAGGCUGUCUGUAGACUCCUCCAAAACUGAGAUACAAACCUCGGGUCUCUGUCUGAUACAAUCGACACUGGCACGCCGUGCAGCCUGACGAUCUCAUCCAGGUAUAGAUGCGCGAGUCUCUCUCUGGACCAGAUGGUCUGAACCGAUAAGAAGUGAGCAGACUUGGUCAGUCUGUCCACUAUCACCCAAAUCGCAUCAAAGCCACCCUGCGCUCUAGGCAAUCUCACGACAAAGUCCACCGUAAUCUUCUCCCACUUUCACUCGACACUGGCAGACUCUGAAGCUUGCCAGCAGGUACCUGAUGCUCGGCCUUCACCUAUUGGCAAGUCAAAUACUGAGCCACAUACCGGCCAAUGCCUCUCUUCAUUCCAUUCCACCAAAACUGUGCCUUCAAGUCCUUAUACAUCUUGGUUUCACUUGGGUGAACCGUAUAAGGAGAACAAUGAGUCUCUCUCAAGAUGUCCUCUUGGAUCCCUAAAUCCACCGGCACACACAGUCGGUCCCUAUACCGCAGUACUCCCGAACUGUCAACAGAAAAACCCUCAGCCUGUCCCCUAUGUAGCUGCUCUCGAAUCCUCGUCAAGUACGGAUCUCCACUCUGUUUCUCUCGGAUCCUAUCCAACAGAGUGGGCUGCAAGACCAGAGACAUUAGUCUCGCAGUAGACCCAGGGGAUAUUAUCUCAAGCCUCAGCCGCUGGAGCUCCUCAAGUAACGGUCUCUGCUCAGUGAUCAUCACACUCAGGCUCUGCACUGACUUCCUGCUCAACGCAUCUGCCACUACAUUCGCCUUACCGGGAUGAUACUGAAUACUAAUGUCAUAGUCCUUCAGUAACUCCAACCACCGGUGCUGCCUCAGGUUCAGCUCCCUCUGUGUGAACAGAUACUUGAGACUUUUAUGAUCCGUAAAAAUCUCGCAGUGCUCGCCGUACAAGUAAUGUCGCCACAACUUCAAAGCAAAGACUACCGCGGCAAGCUCCAAGUCAUGCGUAGGGUAAUUCUUCUCAUAAUCCUUUAACUGCCGUGAUGCAUAAACAAUUACCCUACCAUGCUGCAUCAACACACAACCCAGUCCACUGUGCGAUGCAUCAUUGUAGAUCACAAAUCCUUCCCCCAUCACAGGAAGGGCAAGGAUAGGAGCUGACGUCAACCUUUGUCGCAACUCAUCAAAGCUCCUCUGACAAUCCUCACUCUAGAUGAAUCUAAUCCCCUUUCGCGUCAAUCGAGUGAGGGGUGUGGAAAGCUUCGCAAAGCCUUCCACAAACCGACGGUAAUAUUCUGCUAAUCCAAGGAAACUCCUCACCUCUGUCACCGUCACCGAUCUGGGCCAACCCCGAAUAACAUCAAUCUUCUUCGGGUCCACUGCUACUCCCUCUGCUGAUAUCACAUGGCCCAAGAAAGCAACCUCUCGUAACCAGAACUCGAACUUCUUCAACUUGGCAUACAACUUCUUCUCUCGCAGAAGUUGUAGCACAAUUCUCAAGUGCUCCUCAUGCUCAGCAUCACUCCGGGAGUAAAUCAGGAUAUCGUCGGUAAAGACUACCACAAAUCUAUCCAAGAACGACUUAAACACUCUGUUCAUCAAAUCCAUGAAUGCUGCAGGGGCAUUCGUCAAUCCAAAAGGCAUCACCGUUAACUCAUAAUGCCCGUACCGAGUCCGAAAAGCCGUCUUGGGAACAUCCUCGGCCCUUACCCUCAAUUGGUGGUAACCUGACUGGAGAUCAAUCUUCGAAAAGACAUAAGAUCCCUGCAGCUGAUUAAACAGAUCAUCAAUGCGCGGCAAGGGAUACUUAUUCUUGAUGGUCACUUUAUUCAGCUCCCGGUAGUCCACACACAGCCUAAGUAAACCAUCAUUCUUCUUCACAAACAACACCGGCGCUCCCCAAGGCGAAACAUUGGGUCUCACAAACCCUCUAUCCAUCAAAUCCUGAAGCUGUGCCUUUAGCUCUCUCAGCUCUGCUGGCGCAAUCCGAUAAGGUACCUUUGAGAUUGGUGCAGUUCCAGGAACUACAUCAAUCACAAACUCAAUCUCCCUCUCCGGCGGCAACGUCGUCAACUCAGGAGGAAACACAUCUAGAAACUCAUGGACUAUAGGGAUAUCCUCGAGUCCCGGCGCCGCCGUAGGUACCUCCACAACUGCCGCUAAGAAAGCGAUACACCCACUACUCAGCAUCUGUCGAGCUCUCGCCGAAGAUAUCCAGGUGGCAAACAACGUACUACUACAGCCUCUGAAAGUGAACUCCUUCUGGCUUGGCUCGCGGAAUGUCACCGUCCUCGCUCCACAAUCGAUCGUAGCAUAGUACCGCGUCAACCAAUCCAUACCGAGCACGAUGUCAAAGCCCUGCAGCUGCCCUAACACCAACAGGUCUGCGGCAUAAACCACGAAUCUAACUGCACCGGACACGACCAACAACACUCCGCAGUCUGUAACACAUGGUCGGGGAUCUGCACCUCUCGUGUCAAAGACAACGACCCUAACUCUAGACCAUAUAACAGUGCAAAUACUUGGCUAACAAAAGAAUGCGAGGCACCGGUAUCAACUAAAGUACGACUACAUAUGCCAAAAAUCAAAAUGAUACCUGCCACCAUACGGUCGGCUGCUGAAGAGUCCUCCCGAUGGUAACUCGGUAGUACUCCAAAAGUCUGCUGGUCAGCUGGCUGCGCUGAUGCAAUGGAUAGUGCUGGAAAUGUCGCUCUAGGACACGCUGACCUCACAUGUCCUGGCUGUCCACAAGUGUAGCAGCGACCCUCUUUCUGCUCACAUUGUCGGGGCCAGUGUGGUCCUCCAUAAAUCACGCACCGCAGCGUCCUCGGUGACGGUCCCUGCUGAAGCAAUCCCCUGGAAAGCUGACGCCCCGAUGAACCACGACCCUAAGAGCAAGAUCGAGAAAGCCUCAGCGGACGUCUGCUACUCGCCUGUCCUCCAUCAUCUGGAAAAGGGCGCUUCCUGUCUUGGCUCUGCCCCGGUGCCAUAGUCCGCUCCUAGAUGGGUGUAACUCCGUGUCCCACCAAGAGUACCUGCUGCACAGAUGCUCCUGUCUCAACUCCUGACCACUGAGUGAUAAUCUCAUAAAUUCUCUGCAAUAGUACACUCUGCUGCUUGAUCACUGUCAGGGCAGCCAACUGCUCUCUCAAAUCAGGGGGUACACUUGCCUCCGGUCGUGCACUCGGCUCUGCCUGGUCGGGCAUCUCUAGCGGUGCGACUUGAUCCCUGGUCGACGGUCAACCUCGGCAGCAAUCAGAACGAAACAAAACGGGGUCAAAUACAACUCAAACACUCUCGACCCAAUCAAUGAAAGUCUAGAAAGCAACCCCUGUUUUCCUCUAAAAUUAUGUCGUCUGCAGUCAACAUAAUUUCUCAGGCCAAAACAGGUACUCCUUCAAUCACUCACCCCACUCUCGGAGGAGUUAGAACAACUAAUCAUUGACUUUCGCAAUUAGAUUACGCCUCUCACUUCUUGCUUUCCUAAGGUUUGCCAAACUUAGGUUCUCUAGGUCCCAACGACCGAAUGCUAAACUCUGAUACCAACUUAAUCUGUCACGCCCCGGAUUACAGUUCCCCGGACACGCCGACAAAUCCGCCGUAUACAAAGGAAUUUUCCCUGUAUACGAAGCGACAGUUGUACCUGUAAAACAUACAAUACUACAAACAGUAAUAUAGAGCUGCUAGAAGAACUAGUAAAGUAAAAGAAACCGAGUUCCAUAUACAUACACUGAAUCCCAGAGUACAAAGCUACUCGCGCUGGCGAGUUAAAAGUCUGUAUGUACAUGAACCCAAACCAAAACAUCUACCUGCAGUAGGGGUGCAUCUAGCUCUGCUCCUCGGGUAGGGCUCUAACUCGUGAUGCCCUUGCCUAGCUCCUGACCAGCAACAGCAGCAGCCGAAGACGAAGGCUCUGCAAAAACGGGAUAACAACUGGACGUGAGAACUACUGUAGAAACAAGUAGUCCUCAGUGGGUGCCGCCCUCAACAAUCAUCGGUCCAGCCACUAAGUCUACAGAAGGUAACAAGGCUAACAGGAAAAGCUGGAAAGAAAUCUACAGCUACAUAUCGCUACACUAGCAUGAUCUACACUAAACAACUGUAGUAAAAGUCAAAACUGACUCAAUUUCACUAGGAACUGUGAACACACCCGUCCCGCCUGCCGGAUCGAACCCGUAUCCUACUCCAGGAAUAGCUGGUGGAGAAAACUCUCUAGGGACUGUGAAUACACCCGUCCCGCCUAAUUAGGUGACACCGUAGCUCAAGAAUAACCGGCGGAGAAAACUCUCUGGAGACUGUGAAUACACCCGUCUCGUCUACUAGAAUACGCCGUAUCUCAAGAGUAAUCGGCGGAGAAAACUCUCUAAAGACUGUGAAUACACCCGUCUCACCUAAUUAGACUACACCAUACCUCGAGAGUAGUCGGUCCCAGAAAAAGGUCCAACAUGAUGGUUAAGACUCCACUCACGUCACAACCUCACUAAAGGUAGAGAAAAACGUCACUCACUAUCUCACCCGGGCUACCCAAAACGGACCCACCCUGCCUGUAUCUAGCUGCGCCGUACACCACCCCGAGGGUAACCGGCUCAAGAACUGUCGAACAGAAACUGCGACACUCAUCGCACUGAAACCUCAUUCCGGAAUGGCAUUCGCGGGCGCGACCCAACGAGUUUAUAAGUAUCUCUGUCAAGUUCAUACCGCUCUCACAGGCUAAGUCAAGUAACCGACUCUAACUGGUCUAACAACCAACAGGUAAAGUGCCCUCGGCACAAUCUAACGCCAAAAAGGCGAUACGAGUCUACCGUCAACUCCGACGGCACCCAACAGUCCGAAAUAGCCUGAACGCUACUAUAAAAAUACACUCGGCAUCCCAGCACGAGCGUAACUAAAAAUUAAACUACCUGGAAUACUCACUAUGAGGAUACUGCAACAGUAUAAAAUAAUACAACGGUCCCUAGGCUAAAUCAGGUAGUUUAACAUAUGCCAGGUCCCGAACACGGGUUUUCUCCUAUGUCAAAUUCAGAUCCAAUAUGUAUAAUUUAUUUAUAAAAAUAGGCUCCAAUUUCAGUUUAGAUGAAAACAACAUUUACAAAUAUGAAACUGAGCUAAAACAAUAGUAAUGUGUAAUACUAACUAUACAUGUCGACAAACAAGACUAUAUGAGUAGGAAUCCGAUGAUAAACUCACCUCGAAAGCUAAAUCCAAUCUGGCGCGACGUCGAGAAUGGCGGAAACGCACCCUCGUCCAGCCUCCUCAUGAUGCUACGACUGCAACCGUAUCCUCGAACGGCUUUGCGGCGCGACGUCGAUGUCGAAUCCGAGCUCCUCGGCUACCUCUAUCCGUGCUCUCCACCAUGCACGUAAUUAACUAGAGAGAACAAAAAAAAAUGCACACUCUUUGUUAAUUUGAAGAGAUAAAUAUGAAAAGGGUGGUGGCAUCCUUAUCCAAUAAAAUGACCACUAUGCCCCUAGACCAACUCAAAAUGAAGGGUAUUACAAAUAAAUUAAUAAUAUCGAUUAUCUAAUUAAUAAUAAUAAUUAUUAUUAUUAUUAAUUAUUAAUAAAUAAUAAUAAUUAUUAAUAAUUAAUUAUAACUAAUAAAUUAAUAAUAAUAAUUAUCUAAUUAUUAACAAUUAAUUAUAACUAAUAAAUUAAUAAUAAUAAUUAUCUAAUUAUUAAUAAUUAAUUAUAAAUAAUAAAUUAAUAAUAAUAAUUAUUAUUAUUAUUAAUUAUUAAUAAAUAAUAAUAAAUAAUAAUUAUUUAUUAAUAAUUAAUUAUAAAUAAUAAAUUAAUAAUAAUAAUUAUCUAAUUAUUAACAAUUAAUUAUAACUAAUAAAUUAAUAAUAAUAAUUAUCUAAUUAUUAAUAAUUAAUUAUAACUAAUAAAUUAAUAAUAAUAAUUAUCUAAUUAUUAAUAAUUAAUUAUAAAUAAUAAAUUAUUUAAUUAUUUAAUUAUUAAAGGAAUAAAUAAUGAUUUAAAUAUAUUAAUUAGAUUAAUUAAUAAUUUACCGCCAUUAAAAUUAAAUUUAGAUUUUAAUUAACCUUGUUCUCAUCAAGGAACAAGCUAGUUCCAGAAAACGGGUGGAACAGCAGUUUCAGCCUUAUACUAUCUUGUUCCAGAAAUUCGAAAAUUACUGUUCCCGAGAACCAAACAUACUGUUUGGGAACAAAGGGGGGAACAAGGACUUAUUCCCCUUUUGUUCCCGAACCAAACGCUACACAAAAGUUUAAAUUAUUAGAGAAUGAUAUUUUUAUAUUUAACAUUCAUCAUCUCGCCCAAAUUUGAGACUUUUUAAUCUAUUUUAUAAACUUGAAUUAAAUAUAAAAAAAUUAAUUAUACGAGAAGAGAAUAGUAUUUUUGGAUUUAACACUCCUCCCACGUCUAAACUUGGGACUUUUUAGUCUAUGCAGUACCAAGCGGAACUUUCUAAUAGGCUCGUAAAAAAAAAAGUCAAUUAUGUUAGGGGCCGGCCGGACUUGAAUUAAGACCCCCCUAGCUACUUCCAUACAUAUAAAAUCAAAAAAAUCGUUAUUCUUCUAAAACAUAAACGAUUAAAUAACGAUGUUUUUAUAUUUAUUCCUCCUAUUAAUUUAACUAAGGUUUUAUUCAGUUAUUCAAGGUUAGUUAUAUAUAUUGUCAAUUCUUUUUCUUUUCUCUCUUUUUUUUUUUGUGAGAGAUAGGUAGCACGCUACCCGCUUUGUUUAUUUUAUUUAGUAAUAAACUUAGUUGGGGAUAUGAAUCAGCUAGGAUUCAAACUUGGGUCUCGGAUGUCAACUACCAAGCCCUUUACCACUUACUUUAUGGACGGUCGGUUAUAUUGUCGAUUCUUAAAGUUUGGAUCCUAUGCUUAUUGUAGUAAUGAAGUCCCAUUGUUAUUUUUUGGGACAAUUGUUUAUAUGCCCAGAAAAGUUUCUGACUUUUUUAUAUACCCCUUAUAGAAAACUAAUAUUAAAAGUACUCUUUUAAGGCUCCAAAGUCUUUCAAAUAUAUCAUUAGAAUUAAAUUUCGUUAAUAAACUAUUAGAAACAGUUGUUAUUUAUGUAAAAUUACUACUUUGCCCUUUCAAAUAUAUCCCUCUACCGUCACAAACAUUUUUCUCUUGAGUUAGGGGCAAAAUAAGUAUUUUGAUUUUUUACCUUUUCAAAUAUACUCUUUUACUUUCUUUAAAAAAAAAAUUACUGUUUUACUAUCACCAAUUUUUCUUAUUUGCUUUUAAAUUAUGAAUAAAAUAAGUAUUUUUAUAAUUUUUUUUAACUAUGAUAGAAAUUUAACUCAAGUUUAAUCCGAGAUGAUUUAACAGGCACUAACAACAGAAAUAUUUUUGAAUAACAAAAAAAUAUAUGAGGAGUAUAUUUGAAACAAAAAAUAGUAAAGAUAAAUAAAAUAUUUUAGAAAUUUUGAGAGAUAUAUAACAAUUAUUAUUAUUCACUAUUUUGAUUGAAAAUCCAUUUGAGCAAAGAUAAAAAAGUAUGAACAACUCCACUACCAGCCAUUCAAAAUUGGCCUCCUUUACCCCCUUUUUUUUUAAAAAAAAAUUUACAUUGUCUCUACUUUGAAAUGUUUUUUUUAUUGAUUAAUUUUUAUCAAUUAAAUUAAGAGUUUUAUCAAAUUCAUGAGCGCGAGUGUAGGUUCAAGGAAUAAAACUCAAAAUAUAUUUCAAGCUAAGUUUGAGAAUUACUAGACUCUCUGGAAUUAUANAUAUAUAUAUAUAUAGAGUUGGACCGGGCUACUAUUAGUAGCAAAAUGCAAAAUCUCAUUGUUGCUAUCAGUUUUUUAGCCUUUGGAUCAACUCUUUUCAUUAUUUCUAACCAUUGGAUUAAAUAUUAUAACCCAGUGGGAACCACUCAACCCUAGGGGGGCCACUCAACUCUAACCGACUAAUAUCAUCCUGACCCUACAAUUUUUCAUCUAAGGGUUAAAAACUUGAUACCAAAAAAAGCGUUUUACUAUUAAUAGUAUUCCAGCCUAAUUAUAUAUAUAUAUAUAUAUAUAUAUAUAUAGAGAGAGAGAGAGAGAGAGAGAGAGAGAGAGAGAGAGAGAGAGAGAGAGAGUCCGGCUACUAUAUUCAUAUGAGUACGAUCACCCUCGUACUCAUAAGUUGUUUUCGAUGAUAGAACUUCCAAAUUGACGAUCCAUACCGUUAAACAUUAUCUAGAGCAUUUAAUACUUCUAGAAAUUAAAUUUUAUAAUUUUUCGAUAUCAUUUACCUUACGAUCAAAUGGUCACAAAAAUGAUAAUUUUCAACGGCCGGUAUGAGAUAUUUGCUAGUUUAAUGGUGAAAAAGAAUCGAAAUAGGUUGAAUUUUUGAUAGAAAACUCUAUUCACUACCUAAAUAAAGAUCAAUAACUCCGAUCUUAAAUUGAAGGAUCCGAUCAUCCAUUUUUAAGAUGUUAUUCGAUUUUAACCGUUCAUUUUAUACUCGCUUGAUGGACUUUAUAAUGAUUUCGAAAAUUUAUGAAAUUUAUUUUCUAGAAGUUUCAAAUACUCUAGAUCAUAUUUAACGGUGUGGAUCGUCGAUUCGAAAACUCCAACAUCAAAAACAACUUAUGAGUAGUGAGGGUUCUAUACUCAUAAGAGUAUAGUAGCCCUACUAUAUAUAUAUAUAUAGUUGAGCUAGAAUACUAUCGGUAGUAAACGAGUCGUUUUACUACCGAUUUGUUUUCGAUGAUAGAACUUCCAAAUUGACGAUCGGGUCCGUUGAACAUAAUCUAUACCACUUGAAGUGUUUAGAAAUCAAAUUUCAAAUCUUUUCGACAUCAUUUGCCUAAUGAUCAAAGGGUUUCAAAAUUUGUAAUUUUAAUGGUCGAUGAGAGGCGUUUUUUCGUUUAAUGGCGUAAAGAUAUCCAAAUCAAUUGAAUUUUUGUUAGAAAAUUUUUUAAACUAUUUAAAACAAGAUCUAUACUCUUGAUCUUGAUUACAAGACUCCUAUCAUCAUUUUUUGAAGAGUAUUCAUUUUCAGUCAUUUAUUUUUUUGUUCACUUGAUGGAUAAAAAAACAAUAUCGAAAGUACGUGAAAUUUAAUUUCUAGGUAGUUUAAAUGAUUUAGAUCAUAUUUAACGGAGUCGGUCGUCAAUUUGGAAGCUCUAUCAUCAAAAACAAAUCGGUAGUAAAAUGACUCGUUUACUACCGAUAGUAUUCUAGCUCAACUCAUAUAUUUAUAUAUAUAUAGAACUAGGCCAACAUACUAUUAAUAGCACCAAGUCAUUGGUGCUACUAAGUUUUUGGCCAUUAGAUUAAGAGAUGUGCGGUUAGGAUGAUGUGGGCCCCCAAGGGUUGAGUGGGUGGUUGGUUGAAUAGUAUGAUCUAACAGGUGAAAAUGAUCAAAAUGGUAGAUUUAAAUAUAUGAGAAUGGCUACUGUACUAUUAGGAGUACAGCAGUACUCAUUGUGCUCCUAACUUUCUAAUCACCCAUCAAGUUUCAUGGGUGAUUACAAUGAGAGAUAGAAGAGAUAUUGGAAAGAAAUAUAUAGUAGAUCAUGUGUGCUAUAUAUUAGCACUCUAUUUGGCUCGGGUAUAAAGGGGGGGAUAAGGGGGAUAUCCCCCCUUUAUACCCCAAACAAAAAAAAAAAUGGUGGGAACAAGUGUUCCCACCAUAAUGGGUUGUACCAAGUACAACCCGUUAUGGGUGGGAACAAGUGUUCCCAUGCACCCGGGGUUGGAACAAGCUUGGGCAAGAUUGUUCCAACCCACUUGAGAGAGAGAGAGAGAGAGAGAGAGAGAGAGAGAAGUGUUCCCAUGCACCCGGGUUUGGAACAAGCUUGGGCAAGAUUGUUCCAACCCACUUGAGAAAGAGAGAGAGAGAGAGAGAGAGAGAGAGAGAGAGAGAGAUAUUUAUUUUAAAUUUAAAUAUAAAUUUUUAAAAUUUAUAAUUUUAUAAUUAUAUUUAAUAAAUUAAAAUUUUAAAUUUUAUUAAAUUUUAAAUUUUAAAUUUGAUAUUUUAAAAUUUUAAAUUUUAAAUUUGAUAUUUUUAGUUUUUAAUUUUUAAAUUUGUUAUUUUAUAUCUUUGAAAUUUAAAUUUGGUCUGAAAUUUAAAAUUUGAUAUUUAAAAUUAAAAUUUUUAAUACUAAAAUUUAAAAUUUUAAUUUCUAAUCUAAAUUUAAAAGUUAAAAUUUAAAAUUUAAAAUUAUAAGUUUAAAAUUCAAUUAUAGAAAUAAUNAUUUAAAAUUUUAAUUUCUAAUCUAAAUUUAAAAGUUAAAAUUUAAAAUUUAAAAUUAUAAGAUUUAAAUUCAAUUAUAGAAAUAAUAUUAUUAUUUUCUAUUUAUAAUUACCAACUAUUUCUCUUAUUUCCAAAAACCAUCCAAACACAAUUUUUUUAGUUCCAGCUUAUACUGACAAUUUCAUCCAAACAAAAAAAUACCCUUACUCCUACAAAAAUCCAUACUUGUAUCUAUCCCCGGUAUAACUAGUUCCUACUAAUUUCCGAUCCAAACGGAGCCUUACGAGAAUGGGGGCCUCUGUGCUCCUGAGCCAUUUUUUAUGAUGGAAUUUUCGAAUCGACGAUCGGCUCCGUUAGACUGAUCUAACGUAUUUGAAAUAUCUACAAAAUAAAUUUUACAAUUUUUCGAAUAUCAUUUAUCUAGCGAUAAAAAGAAUUCAAAAUCAAUAAUUUUUAAUGAUUGACAUAUAUCAUUUGCAAAAUAAAAAUCAAUUUCAGUUUCGAAAAAUAAAAAUCAAUUUCUAGUGGUUUUAAAUAUUACUGCUGAGGGCAAAAGUGGUAUGGCUAAUUUUACUAUAUUUGAAAGAUUGGCAUAAGAUUUGAUAUAUAUUUCUAUACAAAAUUUGGCUACCAUAACUGGCUCAGAUAAAUUCUCACCCUCCUAUGAUAAAAUCAAUUAUUGGACAAAAAUAUAUUUUUUAAGCCAUAUCUGACACGCAGAGACUUAGAACAAAUGUCCUUUCUUCUACAGUUUUAAACAUUUUUAUUUCAAACUCUCCUACAACGAGAAAAAAAAAAAAGAAAAACAAUUUUUUUAUCCAUUAAAUGUGAAGAGUAGCUCAAUCCAUCGGGUAGUGGAAAGUAGUCCAGGUACUAGUUACCUCCUAUAUUUGUAUGUGAUAUUUACGUGUCAUCCGUAAAGUUUUGCCUUUUUUUGCUUUAAAAUUGUUUAAAAAAUUUAAAAAAUUUAAAUUUUAUUGGCAGUUUCCGUGAAAUUGAGGGAUCAAAAAAGAACAAGAGGUGAAGAAUAAUAUUUGAUACGUGUAAUAGAUAUUUUGGGUAUAUAUAUAUAGAGUGAGGCUACUAUGCUAUCGGAAGCACGGAGCCUUUCGUGCUUCCAGUUUGUUUUUGAUGUUGCGACUUUCGAAUCGUCGAUCGGCUCCGUUAAACUUGAUCUAGAGUAUUUGGAGUACCUAGAAAAUAAAUUUUAUUAUUUUUCGAUAUCAUUUGCCUAGUGAUCGAAUAGGCUCAAGAUCAACAAAUUUCAAAGGCCGUAGUGAGCGGUUUGCAAGUUUAACGGUGUAGAAAUAUCCAAAUCACGUGAAAUUUUGAUAGAAAAUUUUUUAUACUAUAUAAAACAAGAUCAAUAUCUUUGAUUUAAAAUUUUAAUGUCAUAUUAUUACAUUUUGUAAGAUUUUUAUUUUCAGCCGUUGAUUUUGAGCUCCUUCGUUCACUAGGUAAAUGAUAUCGUAAAAUCAUAAAAUUUAUUUUCUAGGUACUUCAAAUACUCUAGAUCAAGUUUAACGGAGCCGAUCGACGAUUCGAAAGUCGCAACAUCGAAAACGAGCUGAAAGUACGAAAGGCUCAGUGCUUCAGAUAGUAUAGUAACCUCACUCUAUAUA
rnacentral:lncRNA from 1 species